CCCCACAACCUGCAUUCCUUUCCUAGAAAUUUAAGAUGAAUUCAUGUAUACAUGCAAGUAGUUGAUACAACAACCUAUUAGUUACUCGGAUGCUUGCUCUAUUGGUGUCUGCAUUUUUUAAUGUUACAUGCAUCUAUUUUUAUUACAUAACGUUUUUCAGCUGCGGGACUCCACGUUGAUGUGCUUUUUACCUUAACAUUUUAUUAUCUGUUUUUGUUUAGGCAAGGAAGAAGGUUGCAGAGCACGGAUGGAUGUGAAAAGGAAGGGGAUGGAUGAGAGAGGAGAGAAGAGGGGUGAAAGAGGAUACAUAUGGAAAGAGGGAGAAGGACAGGGUGGAGGUGCUUCUUGAGGAUUAUUGUCGACUGAUUUCAUACUCUCUUAUAAAUUCAUGGUUAGCUAGGUAAACCUUUUGUACAACAGCUCUUGUUCAAAAGGAAGUUUGAUUUUUCGGCUUCUUAUUUUAGGUCAAUAUCAAGAACAGUUUAGUUAAUUUAGUUUAAUGUUUAUGUUUGAAAUUGACUUUUACCAUUCUGGUUGAAUGGGGGUGUGGAUAGAAGAGAUUGCGAGUCGGGUACGGUGAUGCCAACAUUGUAUUAGGGGCAGAUAGAUUUAAGUUCCGUCUUAUGUCCAUGAGGAUAGGAUCACUAUUAAAUCAUCAGAAUAAGUUUGCUCCUGUUGCAACGCAUGGGCAAUGGGAGAAAUGUGAUGUCCAUGUGAGUAUCUAAAGGUAACAAGUUAUACAUGAUUAGUAUUGUGCACGAGCUACUCGUGAGUCAAUUGAAUUUUGAAUCUUUGCAAGUUGAUUUUUGGGAGAACACAAGUGCAACCUGAGGCCGAAGUCGUUGAUGGCACUACGAGAUGCAAUGGCGAUGCCGAAGGCGUCGAUGGCACUGCGAGGCUGAGCCCUCGUAGGAGACAAGGACGACACUUCGAGCGGUAGUGAGGAGUGGCGUCAUAGUCGGAGGCGAGGAAGAAGGUUUGUAGGGGUGCGGUGGUUCACCAAAAAAAUCUGGUCGCUAGGCGGUAGUGAGGAGUGGCGUCAUAGUCGGAGGCGAGGAAGAAGGUUCAUAGGGGUGCGGUGGUUCACUGGAAAAAUCUGGCCGCUAGGCUGGUUCAGAGGGUUAGUCGGGGGUGGCGGUCGCGGCUAGCGGAUCGGCAGGCGGUGGCUGGCUGUUAAGGAGGAAGAAGCCCAAGGUAGAAGACAAACAACAACCAUUCGAUGAAGAUCCAAUGUUGCUCGAGCAGUGGCGUCAUAGUCGAAGGCGGGAAGAGGGUUGACAGGUGUGGGUGGUGGUGCGAUGGCUCGCUAAAAAAAUCUGGUUACCGGGGUGGUCCACAGGGAUAGUCGAGGAUGGCGACAGGGGAGGGCAGGGAAGCAACGCGGUCGGGGGUGGUGGCGAUGGGUGGAUCAACCGGUUGUAGUUGGCGGUUCAGUAGGAGGAAGAGGUCAGGGGUAGAGGAUAAACAACAACCAUCCGACUAAAGACCUAACAACCCUCAUAAAUCAACUUUGCAUCAAAUUUUCAUAGUCUGACAUAUAACUGACACCCUUAAUACCGAGAUAUUUAGAAUAUUUUUGAUCAUAUUUAUAUGAAAAAAUACCAUCUUAUGCAAUACUAAAGUUAUACAUUAUAAAAAUUGAACUCGUGAUGUGCAUCUAAUGAUAUUGAUUCCGUAUUGUGAUUUUUUUUUGUAUUUUCUAUAAAGUUGGUAAACUUUACAAAGUUUGAUUUUAGACAAAUCUUAUAUGCGAGUAAAAGGACCGGAGGGAGUACUAUGUUGCUUUCUACAUGUCUUCUUAUGGCCUUAUUAAGGAUCUUCAUUUCUAUGGGUUUAAACACAAGAUGUUAUUUUUGUAGCACAUUUCUGAUAAGUUUUUCUUCUAUAAAGCUAUAAUUUCAACCACAUUCUAAAAUAUAAGUGGGAUUUGAUGAGAAGUAAUCAUUGUGUUUGUUCAUAAUCUAUCAGACACGACAACGUUCAUGUCGAAUGUGUUCUAGAAAUGUUCUUUGAUAAAUAUGUUUUUAGCUAUUAAUAUUUUAGUAUGGUCAUAAAUUUAUCAAUUCACAUAUCACUUCGAUAAACAAUUUUUAGUUGGGAGAAUCAAGAAAGAAAGAAAAGAAGAGCGCUUCAAGGGUAAAAAGGUAGUUGCCGAUGCAUCCCAUCGUGCAACAUGGUAAGUAAAGUAUUUUGUCUAUUGUUAUCAUGGUUUAUUGUUGUUUCUAAUAGCUCCACUUGUAGAUUUAUCUUCCCUAUGCAUUCAUCGGCUGAUACAUCUUGUACGUCAUCGACAAAGAGGUACGUCGUCUAUAUAUUAUGGACCCUAUUCAAACAUCACAAUAAACGGCAAUGUGUUUAAAAGUUUGAGGCAUGCACUAAAAUUAAAAAGUUUUGCAAAGGAUUUCAAAGAAGCACUCAAAAUAAAGCUGUCUGGUUGGAAUUCCAAUAUAUCUAAACGGCAAUGUUUAUUUCCGUUUAGUAUUCCAACAAGUAUAGAUGGUAAUGAAUUCAUAAGAAUUUUUUUUUAUUUUUGUUAUCACUAUAUUUUUUAUUUAUUAAUUUAAAAAAUUGCAGGAAUGUGUUUGCCUAUUUUGUUUUUCAUUUUAUGCUCUGGUGGAACGGUAAAGAAUUGGUCAAGCCGGUUUGCACGGUGAGUAUUGUCCGUUACAUGUUUUAAGACCUUUGGCGUGAACUUCUCAUACUAACUAUAUAUAUUUGUUUGUGCAGAAUGGGUAUGAGUUGAGGAAGCAGUUUUUACUAUACUUGCUAAAACGUCGUGGGAAUGAAGCUAAAGAAAACUUUCCAGAUAUUGUGAAAGAAUUUCUUAAGCGCAUCAUCUAGAUAUUGAUAGUUUUGUAACAGAUGUUUAGUUCGAACAUCGCUCAGUUUGUUACAUGGACAUGUUGUUAAUCUUUAGUUUUGUUAUCAAUUUACAUUACAAAAUUGGACUUCAAUUAUUCAAUAAUUGUGUUUGUGUUAUAUUGUUUGUACAUAUGAAAUUUAACAUGCAACUUUUGUAAACUAUUUUAAGAGCCCAUGGCAACGCACGGGCACUCUACUAGUUAGGAGUAGAGAUAUGCAAAUAAAAUUCUUCUAGCAAAAAAAACCCACCUAAUUAGUCUAAGUUUUGCAUUUUUUCAUAAGAUAUUUAAUAGCGGCAUGAUCAGUGUGAACAAUUACUUUAGAACCAAUAAUAUAAGAUCUGAAUUUAUCACAUGCAAAUACAACUACUAAAAAUUAUUUCUCAGUAGUAGCAUAAUUUUUUUAAGUACUGUCUAGAGUUUUACUAGCAUAAUGGAUGACAUUCAAUUUCUUAUCAAUUCUUUGUCCUAAAACAACACCAACAUCAUAGUCACUAGCAUCACACAUAAUUUUAAAAGGCAAGUUCCAAUCAGAUGAUUGAACAUGCUAUGUUUGAACUCCAAUACAUUUUGCCUCUUGCAAAAAUUGUUUUUGGGAUACAAUGUUUUUUAUUAAAAUAAUUCCGGGAUGCCGUCAAUGAGUUUUGGGGGACAGCCGGUUGCGGUAUGUGCCAGAGAUGUUCCAACCCGAAAAGAAAUGGGCCCUACGACGUUCGCGGCCCAUAACAAGCAAAGUGUUCUUCUAUAACUCAUUCACUCAGAAAAAAAAAAAGGAACCCCCUCAAAUCAAAGAAAAAAGAAGAAGAAGAGGGACCCAAGCGCACAUUCCGCUUGUUUUCUUUUUCUUUCCUUCUCCUCUCAUCUAGGGUUUCCCUAAUCCCAGCCGACACCAUGCCACCCCGUCCUCCAGGCAGCCUCGGCCGCGGCCGCGGCCGCGGGCUCGGAUCCCCCGUCGCCAACCCCGUGCCAACCAGUCUCGGCGCCGGCGGCCGUCACCUUCCGCGCCACCGCGUACUGCACUUUGAUGUUCCCAUCAUCAACGGGCGAGAGAUUAUUUCAGUCGAUUCGAAUGGGCCACUCACCGCAGCUCGUUCUAGCUCGGACGACGGGCCAGUGAUCUUUGUGGACGUAGAUAUGGACGGGAGCUUCUUGACGGACCAUGAUAUUCCUGGCGAACCAUUUGAAAGCAUGGACCAACUCAUCCACGCGGCCAGUGUCCACUUGCUCGUCGCCUCCUGCUGUGAUCUGUCUCGGUAUGCCCCUCCCGAUGCCUUCAUCGUCAGUUUUCUUUUUGCGAUCUACUCGAAAUCGAGUUGUUUUGCGAAUCGAUAUAUGGGGAUUGAUUGCUUUGGGAAGCGCGGCUGGAGGGUUGUCGCAUAGAUCCCUCUGUAUUUCUAUCCAUGUUGUAAGGCCCCAGUAGAUGAUGACAGAUCUGCCCGCUUUUUUGGCUGGCCAUAGCACGAUGAUAAUAUGUAAAUCCAUCUCCUAAGAUGUUAUCCAUCUCCCAAGAAAUAUUAAUCGUUCUUCUGCUAACUGAACCUGCUUGUUCCACUUCAGAUAUGAGGGAGGCACUGCAUCUUCACAGAUGCCUGUUUCAGAACUCCAGCAUCUCCACUAUGAAGCAACCUGUGAUCAGCCGUAUGACCACUACGCCUCCUCUGUGUUAUUUAUUCCUAGUCUACUUGAUACCCAAUUGAUUUGUUUAUCGGUGUAUGCUUGAUUGGGCGCCUAGGGGGUUCUCGUACAGAGUUAUGAUUGGAUUUCUCUCUGGUAGAUUAGGAGCUACCUGUAUAUUUCUGGCAUCUCUAUAAGUUUUUAUAAGGAUUUUUUAUCUAUUUACUUGGCCAUUGCGCAAUGUUAAUAUGAAUUAUUCAGUCAUCCCCCAAAACCAUUUGUUGUUGUGCUGACCUUGCCUGCUUGUUUCCAUUCAGCUGCGAGGCGGAGGAUCAUGCGCCUGCAUGCUCACAAACACCACCUUGGUGAAUAUGCCCCACUUUCACUUUGAAUUUAUUGAUUUUCUAUUACUAGGGCUUGGCAGUGAAGUCAGUGUUUUGCAACAGGAAGCGGAAGAAAGUAGAUUUAUGGCAUGGACAGGACCUCUCAUCCUCGAAGGACUUGCUCAACACUAUAACAUUGCAGGAAUCAUCCACUGCGACUUCCUCGUCCUCUGUGCAGAUGCAGGCUCAGCCUUGGUGCUGUCUUUCAUCAUCACCUAUUUGGACAUUGGCCCAGUUUGAUUGGGGAAUCAUAUUUUUCACCAGGGUCGACCUGAAGGGUUCUUUCCACACAAAUCCUCAUGUGGGUGGGUCAUUUCAGAGCUUACAGGAUGCUUACAAUGCUAUCGACCUUUAUCUAAAGGAACAUCAGGAUCCAACAAUGUAACCUUCCUGAACUUCAUUCUAGACUUCAUUGGUUUAUUCAUCUUGUUUUGUAUGUACACCUGCAGCUGAUUACGUUCAAACAGGGAGAUGUUGUGAAUCAGACAGGGCGAUCUUGUGACUUCCCUAUGUGAUUUAGUCCUUGAAAGAUAAUCACAAUUGAUACAUCCAUGGAUCAGGAAUAGAACGAGUUGACAGAAAAAAAAACAUCCUACGUUAUUUAUUAUUUUGUGCUUUGGGAGAAACAUUUUCUUAUGAUAUUUUGUGAGAGUUGUCUAGAUACUGAAUAAAUCUUAAGCACAGCUGAGCUUACCAAACUGCAUAUAGAUACUAUGCUGCCACUUUGUAUGUAGGUACAAUUUUAUUUGGAUUGUCUGGUACAACUUCCUUUCCUCGUGAACAAAACAAUGGUGAUAUCUUUUUAUAGUGCGCCAAGAACUCAUAGGCAUGCAAAUGUUCAGUUUUGUAUCUUGCUUUUGCUGAUUAUUACUGCCCCUAAGCUACCUUAGAGGUAACUUGGAAGCUGUUUGAUCCUACCGAAGACACAAACUGCUAGUUCACUCUAAACCUAUGUUGAGCUGAUUAAUGUCGACAUAUAAUACUCCCUCCGUAAAGAAAUAUAAGUGUUUAGGUCACUAAUAGAUCACUACUUCUAUUAGUGACCUAAACACUCUUAUAUUUCAUUACGGAGGGAGUACUUAAUAUCACUCCAUAUUCUCCUCUUCACUGAAAACUACUAAUCUUAUGCUAAUGCUCUGAUUUAAACUAGGUUCACUGGUGUUUCUCGACUGGAAAGGGUAGUAAGGCUAUCUCUUAACUAUCCUGAUGGCACAAGGAAGAAGCUUUUGGAAUCGCAACAAAUGGAUGAAAGGCGUGAUUGGAAGCGCCAGUUGGUUCAAACUUUGGUGGACAAGCAUAAUGAUUACCACCAUCUUUCAGGGGUUUGAUCUCUGCCCCUCUCUCCCGCACUCAUUUUUCUUUUCUUUUCUCCAAGGUUGCAUAACAGUUGGUUGCUGAUCAGAUUGAUGUUUCUUAAUUUCAGGAUCUUGCAUAUGAACUCAAAGAUGUUGUGUGCUUGAAAUCAGUUGCUGGGGGCAAUGGCCAUAGGUACUAUCAUAUCAAUUUGACUAUGAAGACUAAAGGAGCUGAUGAUUCUAACUGUGGUGGCGGAGAUCUUUUCUUUGCUGAGUUCAAAAUCAAGGGGGGAGAAUAUGUAGAACUGGUGGUCAGCUGUUUCUGCAUGGUUGAACCUACUGACAACGGUAUCGUGUACUCUUCUUUUGACCUACAUAUCUUUCAAAUAUCUCAUCACUUAUCCUUGAGCGCAUUUGGAAUAUCUCAAACUGGUCCUUGUGGCAACGUAAUAUCCACGUGCACAUGCUUUUUUCUUUCCCCUCUUAAUUGUCAGUCAUUCCCUGUGGUUGUGCUUUGUUGAUUUACUCGGCGGUUCACUGACAGUCUUGCCAAAAAUAAAUAAAGGUCAUUGCUAUGGUUGUGAUGUGAAGCACCCCAACAAUUCUGCUGCAUAUACUGGCGCCAAAGCUAGCUCUCAGUGUGUAUGUUCUCUGUUUGGUAAUAUGGGAUUGCCGGUCCGCGACGAAAGCGUACGUAUAAUGAUGACUUUAUUUGUUCCCACUUUGUUGCUCUGUUCAUAAUUAACUUCAAUGUCUGUACAGUUGGAAGAGGAGGAAAGAAGGGUAAGGCGUUUCUACGAGACCCAGGUAACGAAUGCCACUUCUUAUGCGGCAGCAUAGUACCAUUUGCAGCAACAUGAUGUUGGUUCCUUGGUUGAUUGUUCUUUUUGUUUAGGGUCUCGAUGAUCCGGAUUUCGUGGAGAAAGAGAGACCGAGGGCACAGAUACCAGUCAAACCAUUCAGCCCUGCUGAUUGUGUGCUUGAAUAUCGGGCCGUGCCAACUACGAGGGAAGACUAAGUUAAGUAGGGCGCUCAAGUGGAAGGCUAUGGAAUCCCUUUUGAACUUUCAUGUGACUGAAGGAACAUAGUACUGUACAGUAUGUUUUAGACCUUUAGUGUUAAGCUUGUCAGGCUGUAGGCUCAAGUAUGUUCUGUUGCUAAGACACCAAAAGGGAAAGGACGUUUGGCUUGAGAUGUUAGUGGUUGCUCAUCAGAAUUGGAUCCAGAGACAAUCUGAUUGGCUGUCUUUCAAAUUCGAAACCACUUGCUGCUUCUGUUUAGAUGUGAAUGGAUUUACAGGUCAAAGCGAGCACAAACCAAACAACCAUGUCGCUUCCUUCAAGUUUUACCAGCAGGCUGCAGGUUUUGGGAUGGAUGGAUUGGCUUCCUAACAAAAUUAGAGUACUCUCUUCAACUCACACUUGAAAGUUUAGAUCAUACUAUGAGGAAAAUACAUCAGGUGUUCGCUACAAAAUAAAUGCAACAUGGAACAUGUGUGGAAGAACUAAAAUUUUGGGGGUUGGGGAUGGGGGUGGGGGAUUAAAGAAAUCUCUUAUCAGAUUCAUCAGCCAACAAUUAACACACACACACACACACACACACACACACACACACAAUAGUACUAGUAGUCAAGAACUCUAUUCCCAAACACAUAUAUACAGAGAUACAUUAGCAGGUAUCUGAAUCUAAAGAGAAGAACUCGACACCACAAGAAGCACACACCAUUACAUAGUUCCAUUUAACCACUCAGCAAAAAACAACUAAGCAGGCAACAGCAAUCCAAGCUUCCAUGCUCGAUGCCAGGAGAACAGAGCUUCAAGCUGUACAUCUGGAAGGCAAGGCUGGUCCAUGGAGUGAUUCAGUCAGUCUCAUGGUCUGGGCGAGGGGUAUACCAGUCAGGGAACCUCCCCAUCCUUCUCAGCAGCCUCGUGUAAGGAGACUCCGGCAUCAGAGCCUCCUCAUCCUCGUCGAUCUCUUCCUGCGUUUUCGGCAGCCCAUCAGGGACGGGGAAAGGCCUCGGCUUCGCUGUUUGCCCCGGGGAGUUUGAUGGCGCUGAAUUGUGAGCUUUCUCGGCCAUCUUCUUCCGUAGGUCUGACCGGUGGUGGAUGCUGCUUAUGAGGUACCUUGGGUCUGACCGCGAGUCCUUCACCAUCCUUGAGAUUUCUUCUUGCGGUAGCUCUUGCUGGGAAAUGGGGAAGAGUGGUUAGUUGGAUUGGAUCGCCGCAAGUAGCACGCAAAGGUACUAAAUAUCUUGCAGAGAGUGCAGCAUGCUCAUGAUGAAUUUGGUAAUGUUGAUUUAUGAAAAGAUGAUUUUGGCUGCGGUGCCGGUGCAUACCUCGAGUUUGUUGAGUUCAAAAUAGGCAUCCCAGCAGCUGCAGCAAUCAUCGCCUUCAAGGGUCGUGCAAUAAUCUGUACCCAGAUAAGAUGAACCACUGUUAGAAUUCUUUUAGAUCCAAUUAACACUGUUCAAAUUCAGAGUCGGCAACUUCUUAUACAGCUUAAUCUGUUAUGAAAUGCAAUUGUUAGAACUCUGAUCGGCACGCACACACAAAACUUAAAUUGGAGCGCUGACUGUAAAUGACACAAUUCACAUCUCAGGCUAACUAAUUAAUAUGAAACUAUUUAGCUGCCGCCGUUAGCACUCUAUAUAUUUGACUUUGUUACAUACUGCUUUGUUACCACCAUGAAAUUAGCACUCGAAUUUACACCAAACCAAACAAGCUUUUAACAGUAAGGUCUCAAAAUUAAAUGAACACGCGAAACGCUAAACAAGCAAGCAACAGAACCGAAACCAGAUCUAAGCCAGAAGUCUAAACUAAACCAUUACUAGCCGGCUUUAACCUUGACAGGAAGCCGCAUCACACUCACAUGCACUAAGAAAUUCAGAGAAAAAUAAUUAAUUAGAAACUCGUGCCCUACUCAAAGAGGAAUUAGAGGGGAUACCUGUGAUGUGGUCCUUGGUGCGCUGGACGAGAGGCUUCUCCUGCUUGAAGAACUCGUCGAGGAUGCUGCGGCUGGAGCUGAAGGGCUCCCGCUUGGGGAUCGAGCCGUAGUCCCGCAGCACGCGCACCGCCACCGAGCGCCGCCCGGGCGUGGCCGAGGUGGCGGUGGCGGGGUACGCGGGCGUCGUCGCCGUCGCCGGCGACAGCGGCCGGAGAGCGGUGGAUGAGAGCAUUUUGGUGUUUGGUCCUUGUCUCGUCGCUUUUACUUCGGUGGGUUUGCGGGGAGUGGAUUGGCUCGAAGUUUCUAUAUACAGGGGAAGAGUAGAACGGAUAAGGAUCGGCUCUGAACCUGAGAUCUAUGUGUCACAGGAAAUAUUAUUGUAUUUUUACCCCUUUUGCGAUAUGACCACCUAAUAUACUCCCUCCGUUUCUUUUUACUCCGCGUAUAAGUUUUGGUCAAAGUCAAACUACACAAAGUUUGACCAAAUUCAUAUUAAAAAAUAUGAACAUCUACAAUACUUAAACUAUAUAAUAUGAAAAUACAUUUCAUGGUGCAUCUGAAAAUCUUGAUUUCAUAUUGUGAAUGUUGAUAUUUCUUAAUAUAAAGUUAGUCAAACUAUGCAAAGCUUGACUUUGACCAAACCUUAUAUGCAGACUAAAAAGAAACGGAGGGAGUAUAAUUUUAGCACACACAUCCUUCGAGCAACUCUAGCAGAUGUGUCAUGUAUGGCCGAUCACCAUGAUAAUCGUUAGUAUGAUGAUCGGUAAAAAAAGGCAUUCUAACAGAAUCAUCUCAUGCGUUGCGAUCUUCAAAAUUAAUGGAGUCAUCUUCAAAAACCUCGUAGUUGACUGUGGAGGCCCGAUUUGCAGUGUGCUCCAUCGCCGACUAUCAGCGUGAGAUGGAAGUUUUCAUCUUCUUUAUCCUCGCACCACAACCGGAUUUGAAGCUCUGUGCCGCCCUUACAUGCACCAUCGCGCAUAGAUAAUCACCAACGAGAGACGUGACGCAUCACCGGCCCUAUUAAUAGCACGACCGCUCCCUUGGAUUCCCAUGACGGGCUGUCGGACGGACGCCACAAGGCAUCACCUCCUCGCCAUACCGGCUAUAAAAGCCCGGUGGCAAGGCAUCCCAAUCACCAACACCCUAGCAAGCUCCUCCACUCUUCCCAGCAAUGUCGUCGUGUUGGGGUGCAACAAGUUGGUUGAAUGUGUUGUCGGAUGCGAACCUUCCGCCUAGGCAUCGCGCACCGAUGGCGCGAACUCUCUCCGCACCACACUAGCCUCGGCAGUCGCCGCAUCCUCUCCCACGGUGUGCAUGGCGCUGGUGGCUCCCACGACGAUGGACACAAGGGAUCUAUCACAGGGUUUUUUUGCCGGAAAAAAAGUCGGCAAGCUAUGUCCAGUACGGUGCAACACCUAAAAGCAAAUCCGGUGAAGAAGAAUGAGAUGGAGGCAAUUAGCAAGUAGUUGUGUCGCGGGAAGGUACACCUAGCACUCGAGAAAAAUUCAUACCUAGCCAAGCCAGUCUACCCAUCGGGGCCCGAGGAGAGAACACUAGAAAGAAAAUUUGUGACGCGGCAUUAUCACGUGUAACUCACGACCAAGGUCCACAUGAUAGAUCACGAAUGGGAUAAAAACUUGCAAACCAAAUGAGGGCAAGAACCCGCAAAACUCUCACUAAAUGGAGUAACCCGGAUGAAAAACUGUUAAAUAAGAUAAUUUAUGUAAAAAUGUCAAAAAAGGAAUAAAAACUCAAAUUCACUAUAUAUAUCUGUUGGUGAUUAUUUUAUGGGAAUGCCCUUUUCUUUUCAUGGUGGUGAUGCAAGAUUUGCAAAACUGCAGUUUUGUAGGGAGUCGAAUGUCGAAUGCCGAGAUUUUGCCGAUCGCUGUCACCUGUCAGCAAUCGACUCCCCCGGCGAUAGAAAUAUCUCCAGGCGCAGGUAGACAAUAUCCCAGCUGAUUUACACUAGACGACUACACGUAGACCUUCCCAGGGCAAGUGUAUCCGGUAUUGGACGUGUUAUCUCGUCCAGUUGGCAAGUGCGACAUGCAGCCACCUCUGUCUUUACGUCCAAGUGCAGAAACGGCGGGUAUCCGAUCCGUCGAUUUCAAUACAGGAAGCUGGCUAUAGCGUGCGGAUGGAUCGAUGGGCGACAAACCGCGGGCGCCGAUUACCACUCUCCGAGAGUAGCCGUGCUCCAUCCGCGGGAGAACUCUUCUCCCGUGGAUAAUGGUGAGCGCGCCGACGGAACGGAAGCACCGGCCUCGAUGAGGGAGUCCACGGAACCAGUUGGAAAAUCCAUCCACGGUUUGCAAGGCCUACGCAUAUUCGUAGAUCAUCAAUUCGAUCAAUGUAAUAAAUUGUAUAUAUCACAAUAGUCAUAGGGGAACGUUUAUAUUUAUCCGACUGAUUUCCGACGAUGCGUAAGCCGCCCGCUGCACCGUCCGAUUAGUAGAUCAUCUCAUUCAGUCGUGUGUUGGUACAAAGCGUACACGGUGCGUUGCAUGUGGCUGGUCCCCACAAGAGGCUAUCGUGAUUCUUUUUGACCUUUUUUAUUCCUUUUCACACGAUGUGCUAGGGUAGCUUGGUGCACUUUUACUACUGCUCACAGCCUCACAUAAGUGCAGACGGCUGCACUUCAACAGCGUUGCUACAAGGUCGUCUCGGUGCCAUGCCGCGUUAGUUGCCGGCGAUGUGCUAGGACAACGGAGCGCCGAUGGGCUGCCAUUCACGGCCUCUAGUGCAUGCGUCGACGGCUGCUGCAAUGGAGCAUCGCCGCACCGCCGACGAAGCAUCGUCGCUGCUGCAACGGAGCAUCGUUGGGUCGCCGAAGCAUCGUCGGUGUUGGAAUGGAGCAUCUUCGAGCCACCUAAGCAUCGCCGGUACUGCAACGGAGCAUCGCCAGGCUGACGGAGCAUCUUCGAGCCACAUGAGCAUCGUCGAUAUUGCAGUGAAGCCUCGUCGCUGUUGGAACGGAGCAUCUUCGAGCCGCCUGAGCAUCGUCAGUACUGCAACGGAGCAUCGCCAGGCUGCCAGAGCAUCAUCAGUGCUACAACGGAGCANNNNNNNNNNNNNNNNNNNNNNNNNNNNNNNNNNNNNNNNNNNNNNNNNNNNNNNNNNNNNNNNNNNNNNNNNNNNNNNNNNNNNNNNNNNNNNNNNNNNNNNNNNNNNNNNNNNNNNNNNNNNNNNNNNNNNNNNNNNNNNNNNNNNNNNNNNNNNNNNNNNNNNNNNNNNNNNNNNNNNNNNNNNNNNNNNNNNNNNNNNNNNNNNNNNNNNNNNNNNNNNNNNNNNNNNNNNNNNNNNNNNNNNNNNNNNNNNNNNNNNNNNNNNNNNNNNNNNNNNNNNNNNNNNNNNNNNNNNNNNNNNNNNNNNNNNNNNNNNNNNNNNNNNNNNNNNNNNNNNNNNNNNNNNNNNNNNNNNNNNNNNNNNNNNNNNNNNNNNNNNNNNNNNNNNNNNNNNNNNNNNNNNNNNNNNNNNNNNNNNNNNNNNNNNNNNNNNNNNNNNNNNNNNNNNNNNNNNNNNNNNNNNNNNNNNNNNNNNNNNNNNNNNNNNNNNNNNNNNNNNNNNNNNNNNNNNNNNNNNNNNNNNNNNNNNNNNNNNNNNNNNNNNNNNNNNNNNNNNNNNNNNNNNNNNNNNNNNNNNNNNNNNNNNNNNNNNNNNNNNNNNNNNNNNNNNNNNNNNNNNNNNNNNNNNNNNNNNNNNNNNNNNNNNNNNNNNNNNNNNNNNNNNNNNNNNNNNNNNNNNNNNNNNNNNNNNNNNNNNNNNNNNNNNNNNNNNNNNNNNNNNNNNNNNNNNNNNNNNNNNNNNNNNNNNNNNNNNNNNNNNNNNNNNNNNNNNNNNNNNNNNNNNNNNNNNNNNNNNNNNNNNNNNNNNNNNNNNNNNNNNNNNNNNNNNNNNNNNNNNNNNNNNNNNNNNNNNNNNNNNNNNNNNNNNNNNNNNNNNNNNNNNNNNNNNNNNNNNNNNNNNNNNNNNNNNNNNNNNNNNNNNNNNNNNNNNNNNNNNNNNNNNNNNNNNNNNNNNNNNNNNNNNNNNNNNNNNNNNNNNNNNNNNNNNNNNNNNNNNNNNNNNNNNNNNNNNNNNNNNNNNNNNNNNNNNNNNNNNNNNNNNNNNNNNNNNNNNNNNNNNNNNNNNNNNNNNNNNNNNNNNNNNNNNNNNNNNNNNNNNNNNNNNNNNNNNNNNNNNNNNNNNNNNNNNNNNNNNNNNNNNNNNNNNNNNNNNNNNNNNNNNNNNNNNNNNNNNNNNNNNNNNNNNNNNNNNNNNNNNNNNNNNNNNNNNNNNNNNNNNNNNNNNNNNNNNNNNNNNNNNNNNNNNNNNNNNNNNNNNNNNNNNNNNNNNNNNNNNNNNNNNNNNNNNNNNNNNNNNNNNNNNNNNNNNNNNNNNNNNNNNNNNNNNNNNNNNNNNNNNNNNNNNNNNNNNNNNNNNNNCGUCAGUACUGCAACGGAGCAUCGCCAGGCCGCCGGAGCAUCAUCAGUGCUACAACGGAGCAUCUUCGAGCCACCUGAGCAUCAUCGAUACUGUAGCGGAGCCUAGUUGGUGCUGCAACGGAGUAUCUUUGAGCCGCCUGAGCAUCGUCGGUACUGCAAUUAAGCAUCAUCGGUGCUGCAACGGAGCAUCUUCGAGCCGCCUGAGCAUCGUCAGGCCACCGGAGCAUCGUCAGUGCUACAAUGGAACAUCUUCGAGCCACCUGAGCAUCGUCGAUAUUGUAGCGGAGCCUAGUUGGUGCUGCAACGGAGUAUCUUUGAGCCGCCUGAGCAUUGUCGGUACUGCAAUUAAGCAUCGUCGGUGCUGCAAUGGAGCAUCUUUGAGCCGCCUAAGCAUCGUUGGUACUACAUCGGAGCAUCACCAGUGCUGCAUCGGAGCAUUGUCGAGCCGUCGGAGCAUCGUCGGUGCUGCAAUGGAGCAUCUUCUAGCCGCCUGAGCAUCGAUACUACAAAGGAGCAUCAUCGGUGCUGCAACGAAGCAUCGUCCCGCUACCGGAACCUCGGGUGCUGCAAUGGGGCGUUGUCGGGCCGCUGGAGCAUCACCUGUGCUACAAUGGAGUAUCACCAAUGUUGCAAUGGAGCAUUGCUGGGCCGCCAGAGCAUUGCCGAUGCUGCAACAGAGCAUCGUCGGGCCACCAGAACCUCACGGGUGCUGCAAUGGAGCGUUGUCGCGCCGCCGGAGCAUCUCCGAUGCUUCAAGGGAUGGUCACAACAGUGUCGUUGCUGGUGCUGCAAUCCCGGAGCUUGCUGGUACUGUUGCCAUGGCCGGUCCAUGGCGAGCUCGUCGAUGUUGCCGUGAGAUGUUCGGCGAGCAUUGCGGGUGGUUUAAGCAAAAAUUGGUGCUGCAACUUGGCAACCUAGGAUUCUCCUCAAAGCUAUGCAUGCCAUGCAAGAAGCGAGAGUAUCCAUUGUACGUACCGGUGGCUGGAGUGAUUGCUUAUUGUGAUGACGUGGUCAGGGUAUAAGAGGGCAUGGGCGUACUGUGAAUUGCACGCGUCAGGGGAUCACGCUGCCCAAAUCAACGGCUGUCAAGCCGACUGAUCUUUUCUUAAGAUAAGCCGGAUGACGCCUAGCAGUCCCCAUAGUCAUAUCAUUGAAAAAUAUAACAUUUGAAAUUUCUAAUGGCAUGAUUUUUAGGGGGGGGGGAAUCUAUUUUAACCAACUAAUUUCACACAGAAAUAAGUCGGGCCGCAUGCUUGCCAUGUGUAUGCAGUCCCCACGUGCAUGCUCUCUUUACCUCCCAUAAUCAUUUUCUUCCAUUUCUUUCUCGCUUUACUCCUCGUCGUUAUCUUCCCCCGAAGCUUCUCGGCUUUGCCUCUAUCUCUAGACCCGCAACAACAUUUGUACCUCCUAAAUCUCGCCUUCGGGAUUCCUUCCUCCCUUGCACCCAGCGCCAAAAGCCUCACCCCUCCCACCCCGGUUGGCGGAGCUCGCCAUACACUACUCCGAGCCUGCAAAAGAUGACAAAUGAUGCACGAAAGGAGAUCUUGCUGUUGCGAGGCGACAGUCCCUACGUUGGUACCUGCAGACCAAACAAGAUAGUGUAGCACUUUCGCAGAAGUAUCCCAGCGAGUAAUCGUCCAAAAAAUCAGCGGUGGGGAGUAUUUAUGGAGGCAUUUCUGUCACACAUAAGGUGUCACAGUUCUUGUGUGAAGUACUGCUUGAGCUUCUGCAAAUCCUAUUACUGAUCAGGGUAAACGAUAAACUAAAUAUGCUAGUGAAGAGGAUUUAAAAAGUGUCUACUGGAUAACUAACAAAAGUAAAUAACAAAACUUAAAAUGUAAAUGGUGUUUCCUGCAAUGAAGAGAUUAGGUGCGAAGAGAUUUCAGUUCAUGGUAAGAAUAUAUGAAUUGUGCCAGUGUGACGGUAAUCCAAGUUACCUUGUAUUGUAAUCAUAGUAUUUGAUAUAAACUUUCUGUAGGCGGUUCUCCCUAGAGUCAUGAAACUCCUUCACUAGGGGUUACAUUUCAUUCUAUGAUCCUACUUCUCCAUUGCCACAAAGUGACCAUUUACAUAAUUAAGGUCAUAAGACUGGAACCAAACAUUAAAUUCAUUGGAUCGCCAUUAUCUCAUAUUGUCUUCGGUUCUCGUAGAUAUCUCCACAUGUCACGCCAAAGGUCACAAAGUUCCUAAAUAAUAUGUGUUACCUGUGUAGAUCUUGAUAUCAUGUUGCAUGGGCCCUUAAAUUGGACAACACGCAUAGGGUUCACCACAGUAUAACAACAUACUAAAUAGAUCAUACUACUAUGAAUUCAAAUGACGACAUGAUAGGCACAUAUCAAUCUUACCACUCACCUACAUCUCACACACCUAGGGGAAUUACUCACACAUCAUAACAAGGGAAUCAAUCACAACAGAGAGAAAAACCAUGAAAACCAUAUCGAUAAUAUUGAGGGAAUCCACAAUGAGAUGAAAUGGCACUCAAAUAGUCUUGAUCUGAGAUGAGCUGGAGUAGAGAUUACAAGCUCCAAUCGCUCUUACAAUAGUGAAGGAUAUGAUGACGAUGAUGGAGAUGAAAGGACCCAAAAAAACUACGAUGAUCUUCUCCUCUCCUGUUCUGGAUGGUGUGGCGGCGGCUAGGGUUCUCUUCUCCUCGUGGUCCAUUCAUGAAAGUUGCUUGUAUAGACAAAGAGGGGCCGUGGGCAUUCCAAACGACCGCUCAAACGAGCACGUGCGGUCGUAUGAAACAUCGUCUUUCACUCUGGUGCGCCUGUUGACAGUGCUCUCUUCAAGAAAGUUGCUCCAAUUGGCUUGAUUUGCUGCAAUCUCCUUUGGUUUCCUUCCAAAUGGGAUAUUUCCUGCCAUCCAUAGGACAAAGUAAAUUUUCCUUUAUUUUGUUGGAUUAGCAUUAGAAAUAUAAGAAUGACAAAAAUCCAAUGAAACCAAAUGGAAAUCACUAUGAAAAACAUCACAAAUUCUCGAGCCAUCAACUCCCCCAAGCUUAAGAUUUGCUCGUCCCCGAGCAAACAAGAAAUCAAGAGAGUGAAAAGGAGCUUGGUCGAAUGGAAAGAACUUUACUGGCUCGAGAAAAUACAUCAUAUUCGUCCUCUCUUAUCCUGCAAGAUCAUUCAAGGAAGUAUUUGCAAUUGAAUAGCUGCACCUAAACUUGUUGCCUUACCGCGUAUAGUCUCAUACCAUUAGUUAUAAUUUCUCAAAGCAAGUUUUUCCUCGCUAACCAAGUGUUUAGGCAAAUGAAGGUGUUCAUCGAUUAGAUGGAUAUUCAACUUAAGUUCAUUCAUCAAAAUGCAUUUAGAAGGUUUGGAGAUCAAAGAUGGCAAAGUACUCAAGUUUUUCAUUAACACCCACUAAGGCCUCCUAGUCAUGGCUCUCAGACACUUCUCUUAAUUAUUGUUCUUCGGGAUUUCAACUCUCGGUGACGGGGUUAUGCCAGAAUUCACUAUAUGCAAUUGGGUUCCGUCUUGGCUUAAUUUCAUGCACUAUGGAUCAAGAAUGCUUGUCUCUUUCGAGUUCAAUAAUCAGUGAUUUUAUUUACCACUUACACACUCCCUUGGGGAAGGUCUAUAAUUUACCACACAACCCCCAAGUUUGUGACGUAGUUGCAGUUACGCGAAUUAUCUCGACAUAUAGCAACAGGACGUAAAGCCAGCCUAAGGCUGGAGCUCCACAAUUUAAGUAUCAUGAAUAAAUUUUGGCAUAACCUCAACCACUUCAAAUAUUCAUGCCUCCAAAUAACUUCAUCAACAGGUGUCAUAAAGUCAAUCUGAAUCAGCUUGUGGAGUUGAAUUGCUUAAGUACUCAUUCUUUUCGAAAUUUCCUGCCCUAUAAAAUUUCUAGGUUUUCAUUGAAACAAAAACAAGCUUUCCCACAAGGUUUGACUAGCAAAAUCUGAAAUUCGGAGUUAUGACUAGAUGAUAUUCAACUAACACGGGGAACUAAUUCAAGUGCAACCAGUCAACUGAAAAUUCUUUCUCAAAUAAUAUUGCGAGACAAGGGAUUAUGUAUAUGUUAUACCUUCCUGCGCUGGCUCAUUCUUCCCCUCUAUCAAGUCCCAAUUCAUUUUCUUUAUUUCCUCUUGCUAGGUGAGAACAAACUUGUAGGCUCAAAGAAAACAUAUGAAAAGAACUACAACAAGGCAAGACCAAAGUGUGCUCCUCAUUUUAUUAUGCAAACUGAAGAUAAACAUUCAACAUAUAAAAACAAAUAAAAGAAAAAUAAGUAUGCAUGCAUGGAUAACUAGGGGAUGAGCUCCCCCAAGCUUAGGCUCUUGGCCUACUCUCUAGUCCAUGUGCUCGUCAUCGUUGCCCCCUGGCCAAAGUGUGGCCACUGGAAGGAUAGGCCACCAGAGGACGGACCUUCUGCUCCAGGAUGUGGCUGCCAAAAAGAAAAGAGGGACUGCAUGUUCCCACUUAGCAGGUUAAUGUUGUUGUUGGCCUCACGGAGGUCUAUACGGAUCCCUCAUACCUACUGCUGCAGCUGCUGAAACUCAACCCUGGGCACAUAGUCUUGUGGCUGCCCAAAGUGAAUCUGUGGUGCAUAUUGUGGUGCAGGUUGUUGUGGAAAGUUGGGUGCGUGCUGAGGGGUGUUGCCCCAUGCAUCCCAACCAUGGGCAAGGCCUACUGCUAUAGCCUCCCACUCUGGACUGGGUUCUGGUUGAGUAAUGUUCCCGAAACCAGCCUCGUGGCGGUACUCGUUGAUCUGGUCAACAAAGAGUACCCACAUAUCACACGUAGAAACAGUAAAUGCUUGCGGCAAGGGCAAGCGAACAUCAACAGUUUGCGUGUUAGGUAGGGAGCAUUUCUAGCAUGCUCCCCUUGCACGGGCACAAUGAAGUGAGUGUUGAUCAUAAUCCUACUGUUGAGUGUUGUAGGACAUAGGACAUGCUGCAUAGAAUCAAGAUCGAGGCUGAAGUGCUCGGCAAGCCGAGACACUAUGCCUCCCACAAUAAUAGUCCCCCUCCACUGCAUGUGCUUCCUACCGAGGUGACGCAUAAGAAAAGCUCCCAAGUUAGGCUUGGGGUGGAGUCGGGGUGGAGUGUUGCAUGGAAAACACACAAGUCAUAGCUCAACAUGCCCCAAGGUUCUCCCUACCAAAAAUAGUGUUGGCAAUGAAAAUCAAGAAGUGCGAAUGGCGGGGUUUUGGAUGCUCGAUACCUUCUUCCUGGAGAGGUCAUGUUCAUCCUUGACGGAGAUGAGUUCCCAUGAACCCAACACGUCAGCAACCAGCGUGCCCCUAGUGUCGAGAACUCCGUCGUUCUCAAAAUCGAAGGCACUAUAGAACUACUCCAGCGUCAUGGUGCGCUGGACUCCUUCGAGCAUGAAUGAGCAGCUCGAUGCCACCCUCGAGUCAUCCAGUGUGUGGGAGAAGGUGGAGAUGAGCUCCACGGUGAUGUUGCGGUACAUGAAGUAAUGGAAGUUACUGAAAACUCCCAUCCCAAUGAUGUUCACAAGCAAUGCAAAGUCAUUGUGAAGCCCUUGGGACUGCAAGAACGCGUCACACUUCCACUUCGUGGGGGUCAUCCCCUGGUUGUUCACGCGUUGGAAGUCCUUGUUCACAGCAGCACAAAGUUCAUCUCCCUCGUUCCGGGCACACUAAGAGCGUGAUCCCAUGGCCUUCUUCCCUGCGGCAAUCACCAAUCACAUCAUUUUCUACACACAACAAAAAUAACAACAGAAAAAAUGUAAGUUUAACAUGGGGAUCGAGUUAUAAUACUACCUAAGAUCGACUCUAAUCUAUUACUUUGAAUCCUAACGCACAAAUCGACUAGAAAUCGAAAAUAUUAUGCAUCUCAUCUAGGACAUGAACAUUGAUGAAACCAGCACCAAAACUUGCAAAUAAACCAUGGAUCAGAGGAGAAACUCACCGAGGAUGAAGAUGCACGGAUCAAACGAAUGAAAUCCACGAAGAAACAGAGGUUUUGGAGGAUUUUUGUUAGGGUUUGAGAGAGAGAGAGAGAAAGAGAGAGAGAGAGAUGUUAGAGCUUUGGGCGUUGGGAGGAAGAAGAAAACCUCCCAGCGUCGGCGGCUCAGAUUUAUGAAAAUUCAGACAAAACGGGCGCUCAUAUGGGCGCAGACGUCCGUAUGGAACGCCGUUUCACGUUCAAAUCUGCCGAUCUAGGGUUUACAUACCUGAAACGGGCGCUCAAACGGGCAUAGCGCUUGUUUAAAACGUCGUCGUCAAACCUGUUUAUCCGAAAUUGCACCGUGUAGAGGGCGAAACGAGUGCUCGACUAAUCGCUAGCGCUCAUUUGGAAGGCCGUUGUUCGCUCUGUUCCCACGGACGCUCCCAGUUGAAGAACCAAACGACCACACAAGAUGGCACUUGCCCUCAUUCAGAACGAUGUCUUUGGCUCUGUGAGUUUCGGUUGAUUUUGGCGAGAGUGUCAUACGACCACGCAAACAGACGCAUGCAGUCGUAUGAAACACCGUCGAUCUCCCUAUUCUUUUCUGCAUUUCUUCUGAACUUUCAUGCGACCACACACAUGGGCAGCAUCGCCCGUAUCAAGUGCCGUUGAUCUCCUCUGCUGCUUGCCUCCUUUGUUUCUUUUCCCUGUUCCUCUUUUCAACACUUCUCCUUAAACAAAAAGGUUAAAAAUAAUUUUUUCGAGGGAGUUUCAUCAGUUCACUUAUAAGAGCAAAAUAUUAACUACUGCAAAGAUAAAAUUCUACCGAAAAAUAUAAUGGGCUGCCUCCCAUAAAGCGUUGGUUUUUAGGUUGCUUAGCUGAACCUCUCACCUCGGUAUUUUAUCUGUUGGGGAACGUAGUAAUUUCAAAAAAAAUCCUACGCACACGCAAGAUCAUGGUGAUGCAUAGCAACGAGAGGGGAUAGUGUUGUCUACGUACCAUCGUAGACCGAAGCGGAAGCGUUGACGCAACGUAGAGGAAGUAGUCGUACGUCUUCCCGAUCCGACCGAUCCAAGCACCGAUACUCCGGCACCUCCGAGUUCUUGGCACACGUUCAGCUCGAUGACGAUCCCCGGGCUCCGAUCCAGCAAAGCGUCGGGGAGGAGUUCCGCCAGCACGACGGCGUGGUGACGAUCUUGAUGUUCUACCGUCGCAGGGCUUCGCCUAAGCACUGCUACAAUAUGACCGAGGUGGAAUAUGAUGGAGGGGGGCACCGCAUACGGCUAAGGAACAAUCACGAAGAUCAACUUGUGUGUCUAUGGGGUGCCCCCUGCCCCCGUAUAUAAAGGAGUGGAGGAGGGGAGGGCCGGCCCUCUCUAUGGCGCGCCCUAGGGGAGUCCUACUCCCACCGGGAGUAGGAUUCCCCUUUUCCUAGUACAACUAGGAGUCCUUCCAAGUAGUAGGAGUAGGAGACAAGGAAGGGGAAGAGGGAAGAGAAGGAAGGAGGGGGCGCCGCCCCUCCCCCUAGUCCAAUUCGGACUAGUCAAUGGGGGGGCGCGGCCUGCCUCUCCCUCUCCCCUAAAGCCCAAUAAGGCCCAUAUACUUCUUCCCCCGUAUUCCCGUAACUCCCCGGUACUCCGAAAAAUACCCGAAUCACUCGGAACCUUUCCGAUGUCCGAAUAUAGUCGUCCAAUAUAUCAAUCUUUACGUCUCGACCAUUUCGAGACUCCUCGUCAUGUCCCCGAUCUCAUCCGGGACUCCCAACUCCUUCGGUACAUCAAAACUCAUAAACUCAUAAUAUAAUUGUCAUUGAAACCUUAAGCGUGCGGACCCUACGGGUUCGAUAACAAUGUAGACAUGACCGAGACACAUCUCCGGUCAAUAACCAAUAGCGGAACCUGGAUGCUCAUAUUGGCUCCCACAUAUUCUACGAAGAUCUUUACCGGUCAGACCGCAUAACAACAUACGUUGUUCCCUUUGUCAUCGGUAUGUUACUUGCCUGAGAUUCGAUCGUCGGUAUCUCAAUACCUAGUUCAAUCUCAUUACCGGCAAGUCUCUUUACUCGUUCUGUAAUACAUCAUCUCGCAACUAACUCAUUAGUUGCAAUGCUUGCAAGGCUUAUGUGAUGUGCAUUACCGAGAGGGCCCAGAGAUACCUCUCCGACAAUCGGAGUGACAAAUCCUAAUCUCGAAAUACGCCAACCCAACAUGUACCUUUGGAGACACCUGUAGAGCUCCUUUAUAAUCACCCAGUUACGUUGUGACAUUUGGUAGCACACAAAGUGUUCCUCCGGCAAACGGGAGUUGCAUAAUCUCAUAGUCAUAGGAACAUGUAUAAGUUAUGAAGAAAGCAAUAGUUGUUGGGUUACGUAGUAAUUUUAAAAAAUUUCCUACGCACACGCAAGAUCAUGGUGAUGCAUAUCAACGAGAGGGGAGAGAAUGAUCUACGUACCCUUGUAGAUCGACAACGGAAGCGUUGACACAACGUAGAGGAAGUAGUCGUACGUCUUCCCGAUCCGACCGAUCCAAGCACCGUUACUCCGGCACCUCCGAGUUCUUAGCACACGUACAGCUCGAUGACGAUCCCCGGACUCCGAUCCAGCAAAGCGUCGGGGAAGAGUUCCGUCAGCACGACGGCGUGGUGACGAUCUUGAUGUUCUACCGUCGCAGGGCUUCGCCUAAGCACCGCUACAAUAUGACCGAGGUGGAAUAUGGUGGAGGGGGGCACCGCACACGGCUAAGGAACGAUCACGAGGAUCAACUUGUGUGUCUAUGGGGUGCCCCUUGCCUCAGUAUAUAAAGGAUGGAGGAGGAGGAGGCCGGCCAAGGCUUGGUGCGGCCAGGAUGUGGAGUCCUACUAGGACUCCAAGUCCUAAUAGGAGUCCACCAAGAGGGGAGGAAGGGAGAAGGAAGUGGAGGAGAAGGAAAGGUGGCCGGCCCCCUUUUCCCUAGUCCAAUUCGGACCAGAGGGGAGGGGGGCGCAGCAGCCCCUUGGCCCUUUCUCCUCUUCCCACUAAAGCUCAUCAAGGCCCAUUGCUUCUCCCGUAACUACCCGGUACUCCGAAAAAUACCCGAAUCACUCGGAACCUUUCUGACGUCCGAAUAUAGUCGUCCAAUAUAUCGAUCUUUACGUCUCGACCAUUUCGAGACUCCACGUCAUGUCCCCGAUCUCAUCCGGGACUCCAAACUCCUUCGGUACAUCAAAACUCAUAAACUCAUAAUAUAACUGUCAUCGAAACCUUAAGCGUGCGGACCCUACGGUUCGAGAACAAUGUAGACAUGACCAAGACACGUCUCCGGUCAAUAACCAAUAGCGGGACCUGGAUGCCCAUAUUGGCUCCUACAUAUUCUACGAAGAUCUUUAUCGGUCAGACCGCAUAACAACAUACGUUGUUCCCUUUGUCAUCGGUAUGUUACUUGCCCGAGAUUCGAUCGUCGGUAUCCAAUACCUAGUUCAAUCUCGUUACCGGCAAGUCUCUUUACUCGUUCCGUAAUACAUCAUCUCACAACUAACAUAUUAGUUGUAAUGCUUGCAAGGCUUAUGUGAUGUGCAUUACCGAGAGGGCCCAGAGAUACCUCUCUGACAAUCGGAGUGACAAAUCCUAAUCUCGAAAUACGCCAACCCAACAUGUACCUUUGGAGACACCUGUAGUGCUCCUUUAUAAUCACCCAGUUACGUUGUGACGUUUGGUAGCACCCAAAGUGUUCCUCCGGCAAACGGAAGUUGCAUAAUCUCAUAGUCAUAGGAACAUGUAUAAGUCAUGAAGAAAGGAAUAGCAACAUACUAAACGACCGGGUGCUAAGCUAAUGGAAUGGGUCAUGUCAAUCAGAUCAUUCAACUAAUGAUGUGAUCUCGUUAAUCAAAUAACAACUCUUUUAUCCAUGGUUAGGAAACAUAACCAUCUUUGAUUAACGAGCUAGUCAAGUAGAGGCAUACUAGUGACACUCUGUUUGUCUAUGUAUUCACACAUGUAUUAUGUUUCCGGUUAAUACAAUUCUAGCAUGAAUAAUAAACAUUUAUCAUGAUAUAAGGAAAUAAAUAANNNNNNNNNNNNNNNNNNNNNNNNNNNNNNNNNNNNNNNNNNNNNNNNNNNNNNNNNNNNNNNNNNNNNNNNNNNNNNNNNNNNNNNNNNNNNNNNNNNNNNNNNNNNNNNNNNNNNNNNNNNNNNNNNNNNNNNNNNNNNNNNNNNNNNNNNNNNNNNNNNNNNNNNNNNNNNNNNNNNNNNUAUUUCCUUCAAUAGCAACAUACUAAACGAUCAAGUGCUAAGCUAACGGAAUGGGUCAAGUCAAUCACAUCAUUCUCCUAAUGAUGUGAUCCCAUUAAUCAAAUAACAACUCUUUGUCCAUGGUUAGGAAACAUAACCAUCUUUUAUUAACGAGCUAGUCAAGUAGAGGCAUACUAGUGACACUCUGUUUGUCUAUGUAUUCACACAUGUAUUAUGUUUCUGAUUAAUACAAUUCUAGCAUGAAUAAUAAACAUUUAUCAUGAUAUAAGGAAAUAAAUAAUAACUUUAUUAUUGCCUCUAGGGCAUAUUUCCAUCAGUCUCCCACUUACACUAGAGUCAAUAAUCUAUUUCACAUCACCAUGUGAUCUAACAUCAAUAGUUCACAUCUUUAUGUGGUUAACACCCAUAAUUCACAUCGAUAUGUGACCAACACCCAAAGAGUUUACUAGAGUCAGUAACCUAGUUCACAUCGCUAUGUGAUUAUCACCCAAAGAGUACUAAGGUGUGAUCAUGUUUUGCUUGUGAGAUAAUUUUAGUCAACGGGUCUGUCAUAAUCAGAUUCGUAAGUAUUUUGCAAAUUUCUAUGUCAACUAUGCUCUACACGGAGCUACUCUAGCUAAUUGCUCCCACUUUCAAUAUGUAUCCAGAUUGAGACUUAGAGUCAUCUAGAUCAGUGUCAAAAUUUGCAUCGACGUAACCUUUUAUGACGAACCUUUUUGUCACGUCCAUAAUCAAGAAACAUGUCCUUAUUCCACUAAGGAUAAUUUUGACUGUUGUCCAGUGAUCUACUCCUAGAUCAAUAUUGUACUCCCUUGCAAAAAUCAGUGUGGGGUAUACAAUAGAUCUGGUGCAUAGCAUGACAUACUUUAUAGAACCUAUGGCCAAGGCAUAGGGAAUGACUUUCAUUCUAUUUCUAUCUUCUGCCGUGGUUGGGUUUUGAGUCUUACUCAAUUUCACACUUGGUAACACAGGCAAGAACUGUUUCUUUGACUGUUUCAUUUUGAACUACUUCAAAAUCUUGUCAAGGUAUGUACUCAUUUGAAAAAACUUAUCAAGUGUUUUGAUUUAUCUCUAUAGAUCUUGAUGCUCAAUAUGUAAGCAGCUUCACCGAGGUCCUUCUUUGAAAAACUCCUUUCAAAUACUCCUUUAUGCUUUGCAGAAUAAUUCUACAUUAUUUCCGAUCAACAAUAUGUCAUUUACAUAUACUUAUCAGAAAUGUUGUAGUGCUCCCACUCACUUUCUUGUAAAUACAGGCUUCACCACAAGUCUUUAUAAAACUAUAUGCUUUGAUCAGCUUAUCAAAGCGUAUAUUCCAACUCCGAGAUACUUGCACCAGUCCAUAGAUGGAUCGCUGGAGCUUGCAUAUUUUGUUAACACCUUUAGGAUCGACAAAACCUUCUAGUUGCAUCAUAUACAACUCUUCUUUAAUAAAUCCAUUAAGGAAUGCAAUUUUGUUUAUCUAUUUGCCAGAUUUCAUAAAAUGCGGCAAUUGCUAACAUGAUUCAGACAGACUUAAGCAUAGAUACGAGUGAGAAACUCUCAUCGUAGUCAACACCUUGAACUUGUCGAAAACCUUUUGCGACAAUUCUAGCUUUGUAGAUAGUAACACUACUAUCAGCGUUCGUCUUCCUCUUGAAGAUCCAUUUAUUUUCUAUGGCUUGCCGAUCAUCAGGCAAAUCCAUCAAAGUCCAUACUUUGUUCUCAUACAUGGAUCAUAUCUCAGAUUUCAUGGCCUCAAACCAUUUCGCGGAAUCUGAGCUCAUCAUCGCUUCCUCAUAGUUCGCAAGUUCGUCGUGGUCUAGUAACAUGACUUCUAGAACAGGAUUAUCGUACCACUCUGGUGCGGAUCUCACUCUGGUUUACCUACGAGAUUCGAUAGUAACUUGAUCUGAAAUUACAUGAUCAUCAUCAUUAGCUUCCUCACUAAUUGGUGUAGUAGUCACAAGAACAGAUUUCUGUGAUGAACUACUUUCCAAUAAGGGAGAAGGUACAAUUACCUUAUCAAGUUUUCUACUUUCCUCCCACUCACUUCUUUCGAGAGAAACUCCUUCUCUGGAAAGGAUCCAUUCUCAGCAACGAAUAUCUUGCCUUCGGAUCUGUGAUAGAAGGUGUACCCAACAUUUUUUUUGGGUAUCCUAUGAAGACACACUUCUCCGAUUUGGGUUUGAGCUUAUCAGGAUGAAACUUUUUUUUCAUAUAAGCAUCGCAAUCCCAAACUUUAAGAAAUGACAACUUUGGUUUCUUGCCAAACCACAGUUCAUACGGUGUCGUCUCAACGGAUUUAGAUGGUGCCCUUUUUAACAUGAAUGCAGCUGUCUCUAAUGCAUAACCCCAAAACUAUAGUGGUAAAUCGGUAAGAAACAUCAUAGAUUGCACUAUAUCUAAUAAAGUACAGUUAUGACGUUCGGACACACCAUUAUGCUGUGGUGUUCCAGGUGGCGUGAGUAGUGAAACUAUUUCACAUUGUUUUAACUGAAGACCAAACUCGUAACUCAAAUAUUUGUCCCUGUAAUCAGAUCAUAGAAACUUUAUUUUCUUGUCACGAUGAUUUUCCACUUCACUCUGAAAUUCUUUGAACUUUUCAAAUGUUUCAGACUUAUGUUUCAUCAAGUAGAUAUACCCAUAUCUACUCAAAUCAUCUGUGAAGGUCAGAAAAUAAUGAUACCCGCCGCGAGCCUUAACACUCAUCGGAUCGUAUACAUUAGUAUGUAUUAUUUCCAAUAAGUCAGUUGCUCGCUCCAUUGUUCUGGAGAACGGAGUCUUAGUCAUUUUGCCCAUGAGGCAUGGUUCGCAAGCAUCAAGUGAUUCAUAAUCAAGUGAUUCCAAAAGCCCAUCAGCAUGGAGUUUCUUCAUGCGCUUUACACCAAUAUGACUUAAACGGCAGUGCCACAAAUAAGUUGCACUAUCAUUAUUAGCUUUGCAUCUUUUGGCUUCAAUAUUAUGAAUAUGUGUAUCACUACGAUCGAGAUCCAACAAACCAUUUUCGUUGGUGUGUAUGACCAUAGAAGGUUUUAUUCAUGUAAACAAAACAACAAUUUAUUCUCUUACUUAAAUAAAUAACCGUAUUGCAAUAAACAUGAUCAAAUCAUAUUCAUGCUCAAUGCAAACACCAAAUAACACUUAUUUAGGUUCAACACUAUUCCCGAAAGUAUAGGGAGUGUGCGAUGAUGAUCAUAUCAAUCUUGGAACCACUUCCAACACACAUCGUGACUUCACCCUUAACUAGUCUCUGUUCAUUCUGCAACUCCCGUUUUGAGUUACUAAUCUUAGCAACUGAACUAGUAUAAAAUACUGAGGGGUUGCUAUAAACACUAGUAAAGUACACAUCAAUAACAUGUAUAUCAAAUAUACUUAUGUUCACUUUGCCAUCCUUCUUAUCCGCCAAUCACUUGGGGUAGUUCUGCUUCCAGUGACCAGUCCCUUUGCAGUAGAAGCACUUAGUCUCAGGCUUAGGACCAGACUUGGGCUUCUUCACUUGAGCAGCAACUUGCUUGCUGUUCUUCUUGAAGUUCCCCUUUUCUUGAAACUAGUGAUCUUGUCAACCAUCAACACUUGAUGUUUUUCUUGAUUUCUACCUUCGCCGAUUUUAGCAUCGCAAAGUGCUUGGGAAUUGUUUUUGUCAUCCCUUGCAUAUUAUAGUUCAUCAUGAAGUUCUACUAACUUGGUGAUGGUGACUAGAGAAUUCUAUUAAUCACUAUUUUAUCUGGAAGAUCAACUCCCACUUGAUUCAAGUGAUUGUAGUACCCAGACAAUCUGAACACAUGCUCACUGCUUGAGCGAUUCUCCUCCAUCUUUUAGCUAUAGAACUUGUUGGAGACUUCAUAUCUCUCAACUCGGGCAUUUGCAUGAAAUAUUAACUCCAACUCCUGGAGCAUCUCAUAUGCUCCAUGACAUUCAAAACGUCGUUGAAGACCCGAUUCUAAGCCGUAAAGCAUGGCACAUUGAACUAUCGAGUAGUCAUCAGCUUUGCUCUGCCAGACGUUCUUAACGUCGUCAGUUGCAUCAGCAGCAGGCCUGGCACCUAGCGGUGCUUCUAGGACGUAAUUCUUCUGUGCAGCAAUGAGGAUAAUCCUCAAGUUACGGACCCAGUCCGUGUAAUUGCUACCAUCAUCUUUCAACUUUGCUUUCUCAAGGAACGCAUUAAAAUUCAACGGAACAACGGCACGGGCCAUCUAUCUACAAUCAAACAUAGACAAGCAAGAUACUAUCAGGUACUAAGUUCAUGAUAAAUUUAAGUUCAAUUAAUCAUAUUACUUAAGAACUCCCACUUAGAAAGACAUCCCUCUAAUCUUCUAAGUGAUCACGUGAUCCAAAUCAACUAAACCAUAACCGAUCAUCACGUGAAAUGGAGUAGUUUUAAAUGGUGAACAUCAAUAUGUUGAUCAUAUCUACUAUAUGAUUCACGCUCGACCUUUUGGUCUCAGUGUUCUGAGGCCAUAUCUGCAUAUGCUAGGCUCGUCAAGUUUAACCUGAGUAUUCUGCGUGUGCAAAACUAGCUUGCACCCGUUGUAUAUGGACGUAGAGCUUAUCACACCCGAUCAUCACGUGGUGUCUGGGCACGACGAACUUUGGCAACGGUGCAUACUCAGGGAGAACACUUUUAUCUUGAAAUUUAGUGAGAUAUCAUCUUAUAAUGCUACCGUCAAUCAAAGCAAGAUAAGAUGCAUAAAAGAUAAACAUCACAUGCAAUCAAUAUAAGUGAUAUGAGAUGGCCAUCAUCAUCUUGUGCUUAUGAUCUCCAUCUCCGAAGCACCGUCAUGAUCACCAUCGCCACCGGCGCGACACCUUGAGCACCAUCAUAGCAUCGUUGUCGUCUCGCCAAUCUUAUGCUUCCACGACUAUCGCUAAUGCUUAGUGAUAAAGUAAAGCAUUACAUCGCAAUUGCAUUGCAUACAAUAAAGCGACAACCAUAUGGCUCCUGCCAGUUGCCGAUAACUCGGUUACAAAACAUGAUCAUCUCAUACAAUAAAAUUUAGCAUCAUGUCUUGACCAUAUCACAUCACAACAUGCCCUGCAAAAAUAAGUUAGACGUCCUCUACUUUGUUGUUGCAAGUUUUACGUGGCUGCUACGGGCUUUAGCAAGAACCAUUCUUACCUACGCAUCAAAACCACAACGAUAGUUUGUCAAGUUGGUGUUGUUUUAACCUUCGCAAGGACCGGGCGUAGCCACAUUUGGUUCAACUAAAGUUGGAGAAACUGACACCCGCCAGCCACCUGUGUGCAAAGCAUGUCGGUAGAACCAGUCUCGCGUAAGCGUACGCGUAAUGUCGGUCCGGGCCGCUUCAUCCAACAAUACCGCCGAACCAAAGUAUGACAUGCUGGUAAGCAGUAUGACUUAUAUCGCCCACAACUCACUUGUGUUCUACUCGUGCAUAUUACAUCAACGCAUAAAACCAGGCUCGGAUGCCACUGUUGGGGAACGUAGUAAUUUCAAAAAAAAAAUCCUACGCACAUGCAAGAUCAUGGUGAUGCAUAGCAACGAGAGGGGAGAGUGUUGUCCACGUACCCUCGUAGACCGAAAGCGGAAGCGUUGACGCAACAUAGAGGAAGUAGUCGUACGUCUUCCCGAUCCGACCGAUCCAAGCACCGAUAGUCCGGCACCUCCGAGUUCUUGGCACACGUUCAGCUCGAUGACGAUCCCCGGGCUCCGAUCCAGCAAAGCGUCGGGGAGGAGUUCCGUCAGCACGACGGCGUGGUGAUGAUCUUGAUGUUCUACCGUCGCAGGGCUUCGCCUAAGCACUGCUACAAUAUGACCGAGGUGGAAUAUGGUGGAGGGGGCACCGCACACGGCUCAGGAACGAUCACGAAGAUCAACUUGUGUGUCUAUGGGGUGCCCCCUGCCCCCGUAUAUAAAGGAGUGGAGGAGGGGAGGGCCGGCCCUCUCUAUGGCGCGCCCUAGGGGAGUCCUAGUCCCACCGGGAGUAGGAUUCCCCUUUUCCUAGUACAACUAGGAGUCCUUCCAAGUAGUAGGAGUAGGAGACAAGGAAGGGGAAGAGGGAAGAGAAGGAAGGAGGGGGCGCCGCCCCUCCCCCUAGUACAAUUCGGACUAGUCAAUGGGGGGGGGGGCGCGGCCUGCCUCUCCCUCUCCCCUAAAGCCCAAUAGGGCCCAUAUACUUCUUCCCCCGUAUUCCCGUAACUCCCCGGUACUCCAAAAAAUACCUGAAUCACUCGGAACCUUUCCGAUGUCCGAAUAUAGUCGUCCAAUAUACCGAUCAUUAUGUCUCGACCAUUUCGAGACUCCUCGUCAUGUCCCUGAUCUCAUCCGGGACUCCUAACUCCUUCGGUACAUCAAAACUCAUAAACUCAUAAUAUAAUUGUCAUCGAAACCUUAAGCGUGCGGACCCUACGGGUUCGAGAACAAUGUAGACAUGACCGAGACACAUCUCCGGUCAAUAACCAAUAGCGGAACCUGGAUGCUCAUAUUGGCUCCCACAUAUUCUACGAAGAUCUUUACCGGUCAGACCGCAUAACAACAUACAUUGUUCCCUUUGUCAUCGGUAUAUUACUUGCCCGAGAUUCGAUCGUCGGUAUCUCAAUACCUAGUUCAAUGUCGUUACCGGCAAGUCUCUUUACUCGUUCCGUAAUACAUCAUCUCGCAACUAACUCAUUAGUUGCAAUGCUUGCAAGGCUUAUGUGAUGUGCAUUACCGAGAGGGCCCAGAGAUACCUCUCCGACAAUCGGAGUGACAAAUCAUAAUCUCGAAAUACGCCAACCCAACAUGUACCUUUGGAGACACCUACAGAGCUCCUUUAUAAUCACCCAGUUACGUUGUGACGUUUGGUAGCACACAAAGUGUUCCUCCGGCAAACGGGAGUUGCAUAAUCUCAUAGUCAUAGGAACAUGUAUAAGUCAUGAAGAAAGCAAUAGCAACAUACUAAACGAUCAAGUGCUAAGCUAACGGAAUGGGUCAAGUCAAUCACAUCAUUCUCCUAAUGAUGUGAUCCCAUUAAUCAAAUAACAACUCUUUGUCCAUGGUUAGGAAACAUAACCAUCUUUGAUUAACGAGCUAGUCAAGUAGAGGCAUACUAGUGACACUCUGUUUGUCUAUGUAUUCACACAUGUAUUAUGUUUCCGAUUAAUACAAUUCUAGCAUGAAUAAUAAAAAAUUAUCAUGAUAUAAGGAAAUAAAUAAUAACUUUAUUAUUGCCUCUAGGGCAUAUUUCCUUCAUUAUCAUGUAUCAGGUGGUCGUGGGUUUUCUCUGCCCACCGUACACAAUCGUUUAGGUGGUGGUACCUACUUCACCCUUGCUCCUGGUUUCUUCGGGAAGUACUUGACUAUUUCCUCCUCAUAGAUUCUAAAGGUUCCCUUCCCUUUUGAGCAAUCUAGUGAUGCACCUGCAGUAUUCAGAAAUGGUCUACCAAGGAUAAUUGAUAAUUUUUCGUCUUUGGGCAUAUCAAGAAUAAUAAAACCAGUAGGUAUAACAUGCCCGUCCAAUCUCAAUGGAACGUUUUCAGCCAUCUCCAGUAGCUUCUUUGUGGACUUGUCUGCCAUCUAUAAUGUUAUGUCUGUGGAUAUACAUUCAGAUAAAUUUAACUUGUGAAAAAGAGUUUGAGGCGUCACACUUACCUCUGCUCCUACAUCACAAAAGAGCAUUAUUUAUAUCAAGAUUACCAAUAGAACAAGAUAUAGUGGGUAUACUUGGGUUUCCCAAUUUCUCUGGUAUCUUGUUAUCGAACGGAUACUCCGUAUCAUGGCAACUUGUUCCUUAAAGGUCAUACUCCUUUUAUUAUUCACAACAUCACGCAUGAACUUGGCAAAAGUAGGAAUCUUUAACAUAUCAGUCACAUCAAUUGACAUUUUAAGAUCAACAAUGGCUUGCAGAAAAGAAGAGUACAAUGCGUCAUUUGAAGGUGGUCUUACAACCGGAGAGUUUUCUUAGUUUUACCUUUAUCUUUCUCUUUCUCCUUACUUUUCCCUUUAUUUUUUGGUGCUAGGCCACUAACCUUAUUGGUUGAAUCAGGUGGUUGUUUAUUUCUUUCCACCCUGGGUUCUUCCUCUUCUUCUGCUUUCGAAGUUUAUUCUUCAUUGUUAUUGCCAUCCGUUGCUUCUGCAUCUGAGUCAACUUCUUUUUCAACUUCUGCUUCAUCUUCCUGGGUAUCUUGAUGGACCUGUUCUUCAGGUUCUUCACCAAAGAGCAAUUCUCUACUCUCUUGAGUUUGGCUUUGGCUCUCUAUUCUUCUUUGUUCUUGCUCUCUUUCAUACCAUUCCGGGCCCUUGGGAUCUUGCGUUCUCUUACCACUUCGAGUAAAAACAGGAUUAUCUAACUGAGCAAGGAUCAAAGCCCGAGUCUCAGAGAUUUUAAUACAUUGGGUCUUUAUCAUACGAGAGUGUUUAAGAUCUUACCAACUGGGUAUGCUGACUUACCAGGUACCACGUCGUGAAAGACUGUAGAAGACGGCUUAAGAUCCUUAUCAGUCAAAUUCAUACGGCGAAAAGUAUCAUAAUAAAGGAUAUUGAUACCGCUGCCUCCAUCCACGAGUACCUUAGUAAAUUUAUAACCCCCAACUUGAGGGGCUACCACCAAUGCCAGUUGACCCGGAUUGUCAACCCGGGGCGGGUGAUCCUCACGACUCCAUACAAUCGGCUGCUCUAACCACCACAAAUAUCGAGGCACUACCGGCUCAACUAUAUUGAGCACACAUUUAUGAACCUUCUGAUCUCGCUUGCAAAGGCUUGUGGUGAAAACAUGAUAUUGGCCACUGUUAAGCUAUUUUGGAUUACUCUGAUACCCUGACUGUUGUUCCUGGUUACUCUGAUUGGGCUGCUGAUUAUAACCACUCUGGUUACCUUGUCCUUGAUAUCCAGAACUUGAGCCGCCGGCCCGAAGCCGGGUCCAGGUGAGCCGGAUCCUGACCCGCCAUGCGGGCCGUUAUUGUUAUUAUGAUUCUAGUGAUGGCCAGAAUUCUUGUAUUCCUUCAUAAUAAAGCAAUCCUUCCACAAAUGAGUCGAUGGUCUAUCCGGGAAACUAUGUUUUGGGCAAGGUUCAUUCAACAUCGCCUCCAGGUUGAAUUUCGGUCCUCCAAACUGCGACUUACCCUUACGACGCUGAUUAUUGCAUCGUGUAUUGGUAUUAGCCACAAAGUCUGACCCGCCGUCGGCUUGCUUGCGCUUACCGUUGUUGCCCUGAUUAUGUCCUGCUAUGUUCUGUUGCUGACCUAUACCGUUACCAUUCUUCUUUGCCAUGUUAGAUUUUUCAUCAUCAGACCCCGGCUCCUUAGUAGGAUCAGAGUCAGCAUACUUGAUAAGAGCCGCCAUGAGCUCCCCCAUAUCAUUGCAAUGACGUUUAAGCCGUCCUAACUUCUGCUUGAGAGGUAAGAAGUGGUAAUUCUUCUCCAGAAUCAGCAUAGCAGAGCCGGCAUUGAUGCUAUCUAAUGAGUGGAUAAUAGUUGAAAUCCGGCGAACCCAAUGGUGGGCCGACUCAUUCUCUCACUGGACACAAGCGUCCAGAUCAAUAAUCGACGAGGGUUGCUUGCAUGUGUCUUUAAAAUUCUGAAUAAAACGCGCUUUCAACUCAGCCCAUGAACUGAUGGAGUUGGCUGGCAACCCUUUCAACCAGGUUCGAGCUGGCCCAUCCAACAUCAUGGUGAAGUACUUGGCGCAUACUGCAUCACUGACAUCUAACAUCUCCAUGGCCAGUUCAUAGCUCUCAAUCCAAGCCUCAGGCAGAAGAUCAGAUGUGUAAUUAGGCACCUUAGGAGGACCCUUGAAAUCUUUGGGAAAACGCUCAUUGUGUAGAGCCGGCACUAUACAGGGCACUCCAAUUGACCUGGAGGUCAUCCCAGCUUCAAUAGACACACAAGGAUUCAACUGAAACUGCUGGUGAGCCCCCACUUGAGCCGCCAACUCCGCCUCAUGACGCACUCUAGCUUGAUCCGCAAGGGCCUGAGCAGCAUUAUGAUCGCGCGGCGGGUUAUGUCCACGCGGUGGGUCAUCAGCUCGAGGCGGGUUACGAUGCCGCUCACUACUGGAAACCACCGGCUAUUCGAUACGAUGGUUGUAGUUGCGACUCUGGCGGGGUGUUGAAUGAAUACGAUCGCGACUGUAUGAAUAAGCCGCCUGCUGUCUGGCCGCUGUUUGAAGGAGCUCAAUGGCAUUACGGGUUUCUACAGCCACCAGCGACUCUCCCUCAAUGGGAAUUGCUGCCAAUCGACUGGCAGCUGCUAACAUGUUGUCCAUCGGGUUAGAGUAAUGACCAGAAGGCGUGGGCUCCCGUUGAGGUGGGGCCAGAUCCAUACGAGGCGGAUCUGGUACACAGGGUUGAGUCGCCGCUCCAGUCACAGGCGCCUCCGUAGCCCGGGUCACACCGGGCGGGUUACUCAUUCUCGGGCGUGUUAAAAAGAUUCUGCCCCUCAAAUUGCGAAGGAAGACGGCUCUGGUGCCUCCUUCGAAAAAUAGCAUUUGACACGUUCUAAUACAGGUUUAGACGAAAGGCCUCUGCCCUUAUCCGCUGUGAUUUAGCAUCCAGGGCGGCUCGUUCUGUGGUCAUCCUGACAUUCUCUGCCUCAAGAUCCUCUCGGCCCUUGGUCACCUCGUCUCGUAGUUUUGCAAUCUCCGCAUUAUGCUGCACUUGAUUAUCCGGAGUCACCUCUGCAGCUAACAGAGUCGCCAACGCAUCUAAGAGUUCGAAUAAGACUUGAGUCGGCGGACGCGCAGAGCCGCUCGCUCCGGCCGUUGUAGCAGCGGUUGAACCGGAUGUCAUGGCCGCAACGGUUGAGGAUUGUAACACUGGUUGCGUGCCAGCCAUGAAAAUAGCAGCCUUGCUCGGUGGCUCAUAGGGCUCCGGAAUACUGUCGCCAUCGGAAUAGCCCCCAAGCCCGCCAUCUUGCAGUUGAUAGAUUGACUCAGUUUCAUUGGUUGAGGACUCGUCACGUGAAUAGAUGUCCGUCUUUCCACCAGACAUAGAACCUUCCUCAAGAUCUGCCCCAUGAAAAAGCCAACGAAAGCAUGCUUCCAGGCGGGUUGGACCUUGGCGGGUCGCGCGCGCCGAGCCAUCUCAAUGAUGUUGGUGCUGGAGUCACGCUCGGGCUCUGACUCGCCGACCUUGCCGAUGAAGACGUGAAUUCCGCCAAAGGGGACCUGGUACCCGUACUCGAUUGAAUCGGUCUCGGGACCCCAGCCACUGUCGUCGAUGUAGAUCUUCUCGCGGCGACUCUUUGUCAUCCGGCCCACAGCGUAUCCCUUGAUCCCGGAGAAGCUGCCCUUCAAGAACUCGAAACCACCGUGCUCUGGCCCCACGGUGGGCGCCAACUGUCGUGGUUUUUGUCACGGCGGAUGCCCUUGUGAAAGGACUUAGGUGUGGAGCCAUCGUGAUGUUGGUCAGCUUGAAGGGGUUGAACGGGACAAAGGACACAAAGGACUUACCCAGGUUCGGCCCCUCACAACAAGGUAAAAGCCUACGUCCUACUUCUAGUUGUAUUGCUUGAGUUUUGAUUACAAGGGAGCGAAUACGCUUGACCUAACUCUCGAUAGAUUGUUUCUUGAGUUAACCCGCCGCCGGGUCUCACCUUUAUAUACACAGGUCGAAGCCCGACAGCUUACAAGAGUCCGAGCCGGAUCACACAACGUGACCAACCUAGUUUCUAAACUAUCUUGCCUUAACAGACAAGCCACCAUAUGGCGGUUCACAUGCCCGGGUCUCGGGCUGUCACCAGGCCCACUCCUGUGAGCCUCCAUCUCCGCACUUGUCCUCUCAGGCCUUCUUGGACCUUCUUCAUGUUAAGCCGCCAACGGUGUAACCCGGUCCCUCCUGGGCGGGUCACACCUCGGAGUUAUAUCCCCAUCAGCGACCGAAGUAGUUUCAUGUAUGUUCGUUCGUUUUUCUUCUCUGCUUAUUCAUUCAUUCCCUUUUCUUUUUUUACUUUUGUUUAUUUUUUAAAAAUAUUUUAAAUACACAUAUUUCAAAACUUAACCUCUAAUACGUAAAAAGAUAUAAGGUUCCAUCUUUCCUUUUCUUCCCACCACCCUUUCAUCUCAAUCAACUUAAUUUACUUACCUUCUGAACCAAUUUCAUUUUAAUUUACUUACCAAACUUCUCAUCAAACUAUAAGGUAAAUCACGAACCGAUUUGAUAAACAAUAUUUACACAAUCGCAUUAAUAUGGUCUAGUAAUCACAGGCUAACAUACUAGGAUAUUUAUAUUAUGUUUCAAUCACCUUAAUUUACUUACCUUCUAAUCUAAUUCCACUUUAAUUACUUAUCAAACAUUGGGAAUGUAUCCGGUGUACCGGUGCACCCACACUCGGCUGAUACCGAUGCACCCACCCUCGGAUGAUACCGAUGCACCGGAUGCAAUAGAACAUUUUUAUAAAUCUAAAGAAAAAAUCUGGCACAUCAACACAACAUCAAUGUAGUGACAAAAAUUCGUAGCAAAAUUUGAAAUAUUUCUUGAGAUACAAAAAUGAUAAAUUUGAUAUUAAUAUGUUAAUGGGCUAAAUCUAAAGCCCAACUUUUAUUAUGUACUAUUCAGUGUUGGAUUUUUCAUUUUUAUUUACCGAGCUAUGUUUCGAAUUGGACUUGAAAUUUUAUGUCAAUCUACAUUAAUGUUGUGUGAAUGUCCUAAAAACACAUUUUUUUUCAACAUUUUAAAAUGUGCAACAUGAAUACGGUGCACCGGUAGCACCACAAGCACAAGUGCACCAGAUAAACAUAUUAAUGUGCAAUAUGAUUAAUUAAAUAGUUAUUUACACAAUCACAUUAAUAUGAAAAGUGUAAGUGCAUCUAGUGCCACCCCUAGUUGGUUUUGGAGUAUUGAAGACAAAUUUGGUUGAGGGACUAAUGUGUUUGUGAGAAUUGCAGGAUAACACAGGUAGUGUCCCUCAUUGAUUCGGUUUGCCUACCGGAGAUGACCCCUAAAAAUGUAUGAAGACAUUGACAACAAUGGUGGUAUGUGAAGAUAUUCAUAUUGAAGACUAUGACAUGAGAAGACAUUUAGUGAAGACUAUGGAGCGCGAAGACUUAGUUGUUUCGUUGUUUCCUUUUCUUCUUUGUUGAGUCAUAGGAACCACCGUACUGUUAAGUGGGGUCCAAGUGAACAAAGUCAGAAUGACUGAAGUGAUGCUCAACCCAAAUCCUAUGUCUUCGAGCGAAGACAAUGAGAGCAAAUCUUAUCCAGAGCUGGAUAAGUCAGCUUUGCUUGUAGCCCAAGUAAAGUUGCCGUGUGUGUUUGAAAUCUGACCGUUGGAACACGUCUCAGUUCCUUAGUGACCCAGGGUCAUUUCGGACAUAUCAGGUCGGGUUGCCUAGUGGCUAUAAAUAGCCCACCCCCUACACCAUAAAUUGGUGGCUGCUCAGAGUUAGUGCAUGACUUUUGUCGUUUGAGAGCAACCCACCUCAAAGCCUUUGAGAGAGAGAAAUCCUUGCGAGGACAAAGCCCAAACACCCAGAGCCAGAGAGUGUUAGGCAUCACUGAAGUCUUUCUGUCUGCGUGACCUGAAGACUUAUUACACUUGAGGACUAUGAAUCCUCCAGCCGGUUAGGCGUCGCGUUCUGAGCAUCCAAGAGUCAUUGUGGAUCGCUGGUGAACGAAGUCUGUGAAGGUUCGGAAGUCUACCUUGAAGACUUACCAGAGUGAUUUGGCGAGGACUGUGUGUCCUUAGCUCAAGGGGAAUAAGGUGAAGACGCGGUCUUCUGAGUUGAAUCUCAGCCUCCCUAACCAGACGUACAGUUGUCACAGCAACUGGAACUGGUCCAACAAAUCCUGUGUAAUCAACAAGUGACUGGUUCUAUCCUCUCCCUCUCUUUACUUAGAGUUUGUCUUCGUGAAGUCAUUGCCUGUUUGCCUUACCUGUUUGACUUCAUUGCUUGACUACUAUUGUUGUUUGGCUUCAUACUAUCUUCCAUCCUGAUCUUUACUACCUAGCUGCUAUUAGUCCUUGUGAUUUCACUUCAUUACAUAUUUGACUAUGGCUUGCUUAGUGUAGUCUACCUUCCGCUGCAUCUCAAUAGGUUCAUUUCUAUUAUUUGUCUUUGAAACUUCCAUGUUUUGUAGACUUUCAUAAAAAUCGCCUAUUCACCCCCCCUCUAGUCGAUAACUAGCACUUUCAAUUGGUAUAAGAGCAAGGUACUCCCUUGUUCUGUGUGAUUCGGUUUAACCACCUGGAGUUUUAGCUAUGUCGACUGCAGGGAUAAUCAAAGUCUCCGCUGCUUGCCCCGUGUUCGAUGGAACUGAAUAUCCCUACUGGAAGAAUAAGAUGCGCAUGCAUCUUGAAGCCAUUGAUGUCGACCUCUGGUAUGUCGUCAAGAACGGCGUUCCCAAAACUGGUGAAGGUGUCACCCCUACUGAUGUCAAGAAGUUCAUUCAACUAGACUCUACUGCCAAGAACAUCAUCUGUGGUCAUCUUACCAAAGGAUAGUAUGGCCGCGUGAGUGCUCUGGAAACGUCGAAGCUAGUCUGGGAGUGGCUAUCCAAGGUCAAUGAAGGCGUCUCAACCCAGAGAGAUCAAAGGAUCAGUGUUCUUCGCAACCUCUUCAAUCGCUUCAAGAGAAAUGACAAUGAAAAUAUCCAGCUCCCGUUUGAUCGCCUCACUGACAUCACAAAUGAGCUUCGUGCUCUCGGCGCCACUGAGAUUACCAAGCAUGAAAUCGUCAAGACACUACUGAGAUCACUUGACAGCUCCUUUGACACCCUUGCCCUCAUGAUACAAGAAUGUCCUGACUUCAAGACACUCGAUCCGUCUAAUAUACUUGAGAGGCUCAACACACAUGAGUUCCAGAUUUCUGAGAAAAGAGAUAUCUAUGGUCCCAACUAUGGCCGAACUCGCGCUUUGAAGGCAAAAGUUGUUUCCUCAUCUGAAGAAGAAUCUGACUACAGUUCUGAUGAUCCUGAAGACAUUGGAAAGGAACUUGCUAUGCUUGUGAAGAAGUUCCAGAAGUUCACUAAGAAGAAGGGCUUCAGAAAGUCUUCACGAUCCAGCUCAAGAAAUGAUGAAGCUUCCACUCAUGACUACAAGAAGAGAACAUGUCACAAGUGCAAGAAACCUGGACACUAUAUCUCUGAGUGUCCACUGUGGGACAACGAGAAGAAGAAGAAGAAGAAGAAGAGCAUGGAAUAUGAUUCUGAUGACAAGAAGAAGAAGAAAUCUUCAAAGUCUUCUUCCAAGUCCUCAUCCAAGUCUUCAUCUCACAAGAAGAGCUCAUCUGGCAAGGCUCGUGCUUUUGUUGGCAAGGAAAUGGAUUCAGAGGAGGAGUCUGCUUCUGAGGAGGCGGAGGUGGAGUCUGAGGAGGAGUCCGACCCUGGCGUUGCAAGUCUGGCUCUAGCCACAGCCUACGUUGCCAAGUCCAUCUUCAACACUGAAGACAAUGACUUCCACAGCAACGCUGAAGCUGAUGACAAGGACGACCCUGCUCCCACCUACUGCUUCAUGGCACGUGGUGCCAAGGUAAAAUCACGUGAUGCUUACUUUCGAACAUCAAGUGAAGAUGACUCUGAUUGUGAAUCCAAACCCAGCUACAAAACACUUGCUAAAAUUGCAACUGAACAACAAAAAGCUAUGGAACAUACUCAAAAACUGUUAGACAAAAGCAAUGACCUGUUGGACGCGGAAAUGACACGUUCACAGUCCUUAGUUGAAGACAUAAAAAAUCUUCAUGCUAAGUACCAAGAACUUGAAAGUCGUCAUGAAACGCUCUCAACCACUCAUGAAAAGCUCUCCUAUGAUUAUCUUCAAAGGAAGCAAGAGCUUGAGAAAUUGAGAGCGGCUCAUGAAGAUCUUCAAAAAGAGAAUGAGUCACUUCGCGCUCAACAGAUCAAUCCCGCUCAGGAUGGAUUUGAACCACCAUGUCUAAAAUGCCUUGAGCGUGAUAACACUACCUCUGUUGCUGAAUGUUCUACUGCUGCUACUGUUGCAUUGUCUUCAACUACUGAUGUGGUAACUAGCCCCUCUGCGGAGGAUACCACUACUAUUGCUGAUGAAAAUGCUAGGUUGAAGACAUUGCUUGAAACAGGGAUGUAUAAAAGUCUGAAAGGGCAUCAGACACUUUGCGAUGUCCUCAAAAAGCAGAUUCUGAACCAAAACCCUAGGAAAGAGGGUGUUGGGCUCGAGAGGAAAAUGAAUGUUGAUGGUUCCUACUGGAAGCCUGAGCAGUAUCCCAAAACCACAUGGGUUGCUGCAAAGGGACCUUCAGUGGAUCCAUCCACCUUAUCUGGCUUUACCUGUGCUAACCCUGUUAUCAUUGAUGAAUCCUUUGAUGCAAACUAUAAACUGUUCAAGAAUCAGAAUGGUGAAGUGUUUGCCAGAUAUAUUGGUACUAACUGCAGGAAUGGGCCACCUAUGAAGAAGAUCUGGGUUCCCAAAAGCUGUCUUGAGAAUCUUCCAGUAAAUGUUAUCAUGACACCACCUGGGAAGAAGACAAACCCCAGACCUAAGGCGUCAUAUGGUCCAAAGAAUUCAUACAGACAAAGGAAUCACCUGAGUCACCCUAACGCCAAUGUUUUGCAGGGAAACCGAACUCAAACUUAUGAAUAUGAGCGUGUGUCUUCAAACCGCUAUGUUCAUAAAACUAAGAACUUUUCUGCUUAUUCAUAUGAGUAUCAUUCAUCUCCUGCAAGGCUAUUUGUUAGGGCUCCAAAGCCGAAGUUCUCAGAUGCUGCACUUAGACUCAUUGCUUCUAAGCCACCCCUGAAGAUGUGGGUGGUUAAGAAGAAUUAACUUUCUUUUGCAGAGAAAGGUCUCCAGCCAAAAAUCAAAGGCGUCUGAUGCUAUUGCUGGGGACCUAAAACAUCUUGUAGGGCACAAGAUCAAAUGCCCAAAUGGUCUCACUAUGUAUUUUGUUCCUGAAUCGCUUGUCAUUCAUCCUAUCAGUCCUAAUCUUGAUCUGAGCUUCAAUAAUCCUCUUGCCCGUCAAAUGUUUUUGCUUCACAAUACUCUUGGUGAAGCCUAUCCCCCUAACUGUACUAUAGGGUAUGAUACCUCAUGCUUCAGAAUGGAUUAUGGACAGCGGAUGCACUAAUCAUAUGACUGGUGAUCGAAGUCUUCUCAUGGACUCAACCUUACGUCCAUCAGACAAGAGUCACAUCACAUUUGCUGACACUGGUAAAAGCAAGGUAUUGGGUCUAGGUAGAGUUGCAAUCUCAAAGGAUCAACACAUGGAUAAAGUGAUGCUUGUUGAAUCCCUUGGUUUCAACUUAAUGUCUGUCUUGAUGCUUUGUGACUUGAACAUGAUUGUGCUAUUCGGAAAAUAUCGUUGCCUUGUACUAAUGGAAUCUGACAAGUCUCUAGUCUUUGAAGGGUACAGAAAAGAUGAUCUAUACAUGGUAGAUUUCUCAGCAAGUCCACAGCUUGCCGUAUGUCUUCUUGCAAAAGCUUCAGAGUGCUGGCUCUGGCAUCGGAGGCUGGGGCAUGCUGGCAUGAGGAACUUACACACACUCGCCAAGAAGAAGCAUGUCAUUGGCAUCGAGGGUGUCAAGUUCAAGAAGGAUCAUUUGUGUGGUGCCUGCGAAGCAGGAAAGAUGACAAGGGCCAAGCAUCCCUCGAAGACAAUCAUGACUACAUCUCAACCUUUUGAGCUUCUACACAUGGACUUAUUUGGCCCUACUCACUACUCUACCCUCACUACGACUGCCUGUCUCUAUGGCUUCGUCAUUGUUGAUGAUUACUCAAGAUACACAUGGGUGCACAUAAUUCUCUACAAGACUGAAGUGCAAGAUGUCUUCAGACGCUUCACCAAUCGAGCCAUGAACAAUUAUGGCGUCAAGAUCAAGCAUAUCAGAAGUGACAACGGCACUGAGUUCAAGAACACCGGACUUGAUCUUUAUCUGGAUACAAUGGGAAUCACUCAUGAGUUCUCUGCUCCUUACACACCUCAGCAAAAUGGCAUCGUAGAGCGCAAGAACAGAACCCUCAUUGAGAUGGCUCGAACGAUGCUCGACGAAUACAAGACACCAAGAAAGUUCUGGCCUGAAGCUAUUGAUACAGCAUGUCACGUCAUCAACCGUGUUUACAUCCAUAAGCUUCUGAACAAAACAUCCUAUGAGCUCCUCACUGGCAAGAAGCCAAAUGUCAGCUACAUCAGAGUAUUUGGAGCUAGGUGCUGGAUCAAGGAUCCCCAUCACAAGUCAAAAUUUGCACCAAAGGCUCACGAAGGCUUCAUGUUCGGUUACGGAAAGGACUCGCACUCUUAUAGAGUCUUCAACCUCUAUCUUUACAAAAUCGUCGAAACUGUGGACGUGCGGUUUGAUGAAACCAAUGGUUCACAAAGAGAGCUCCUGCCAAGUACACUAGAUGAAUCUCCACCCAGCGAAUCUAUCAAGCUAAUGGGAACUGGUGAAAUCAUGCCUUGUGAAGCACAGCCUAAAGAGGAACUUAUCAUAUCUGCACCUAACCAACCUGAAGACAGUGCUCAGCCUGAAGACAAUCCUCCCAAUGAUGACAAUGAUCAGCAAGAGCAAAGUCUUCGUCCAGUUCAUCCUCGUGUUGCAAAUGAAGUACGAAUUGAGAAGAUAAUUGAUAGUAUCAAUGCACCUGGUCCACUUACUCGCUCAAGAGCAACGCAGUUAGCAAAUUUCUGUGGGCACUUUUCUUUUGUGUCAAUAUCAGAACCCAAGAAAGUUGCUGAAGCCUUCAUGGAACUUGAAUGAAUUCAAGCUAUGCAAGAAGAGCUUCAACAGUUCAAGCUGAACAAUGUUUGGGAACUUGUCAAGCAUCCUGACCCUCGCAAGCAUAACAUUAUUGGCACAAAGUGGAUAUAUCGAAACAAGCAAGAUGAGCAUGGUCAAGUCGUCAGAAACAAAGCACGUCUUGUGGCUCAAGGAUAUACUCAAGUUGAAGGAAUUGACUUCGAUGAAACAUUUGCUCCUGUGGCUAGGCUUGAAGCUAUUCGCAUACUGCUAGCCUAUGCUAACCACAACAACAUCUUGCUAUAUCAAAUGGAUGUGAAGAGUGCAUUUCUCAACGGCAAGAUUGAAGAAGAAGUAUACGUCGCUCAACCACCUGGCUUUGAAGAUCCAAAACAUCCUGAUAUGGUGUACAAGCUAAAAAAAGCAUUGUAUGGCCUCAAACAAGCUCCUCACGCUUGGUAUGACACGAUCAAAGACUUCCUAAAGAGCAAAGGCUUCAAACCUGGAUCCCUCGAUCCCACACUCUUCACGAAGACAUAUGAUGGUGAACUAUUUGUGUGCCAAAUAUAUGUGGAUGACAUUAUCUUCAGUUGCACCAACCAGAAGUAUAGUGAUGAGUUUGGAUACAUGAUGCAAGAGCAAUAUCAGAUGUCCAUGAUGGGAGAGCUGAAGUUCUUCCUUGGUCUUCAAAUUCGUCAGCAAAGAAAUGGCAUCUUCAUAUCUCAAGAGAAAUACCUCAAAGAUUGCCUGAAGAAGUUUGGAAUGCAAGAUUGCAAAGGUUACACGAUGCCAAUGCCAGCCAAACAUCAUCUCGGUCCCGACGACAAUGGUAAAGAGUUCGAUCAAAAGGUAUACCGCUCCAUGAUUGGUUCUUUACUUUACUUGUGUGCUUCUAGGCCAGAUAUUAUGCUUAGUGUUUGCAUGUGUGCUCGAUUCCAAGCGGCACCAAAGGAAUCGCAUCACUUAGCUGUGAAGCGAAUUCUUCAAUAUUUGGCUCACACCCCAACACUAGGAUUAUGGUAUCCAAAGGGCUCAGAAUUUGAUCUAGUUGGAUUCUCGGAUGCUAAUUAUGCUGGUGACAAGGUGGAUCGCAAGUCUACAUCAGGCACAUGUCACUUUCUGGGACGAUCACUUGUCUGUUGGUCUUCAAAGAAGCAGAACUGUGUAUCACUCUCAACUGCUGAAUCUGAAUACAUUGCUGCUGGAUCUUGCUGUGCUCAGCUCCUAUGGAUGAAGCAAACUCUCAAGGACUAUGGCAUCAAUCUGAAACAAGUACCUCUCUUCUGCGACAACGAAAGCGCCAUCAAGAUUGCCAACAACCCAGUCCAGCACUCGAAAACAAAGCACAUUGAAAUUCGUCAUCACUUCCUCAGAGAUCAUGUCAUGAAGAAAGAUAUUGAUAUCAUUCACGUCAACACUGAAGAGCAAUUGGCAGAUAUCUUCACAAAGCCCUUGGAUGAGAAAAGGUUUUGCAAGUUACGGUGUGAGCUAAAUAUCUUGGAAUCCUCAAAUGUCCUGUGAUCAGGCACACAUCCUAACACUUAUGCAUGUUGAUGACUUAGAUGUGCAAGACACGAAGUAAAGUAUAUCUUCAAUCAAUGAAGACUUACAUUCUGAGUGUGAAUACAUUAACUUGGAAUUUGACUUUGGAGCGCCACGAUAAUUGUGCACCGUAUCUGGGUCUAAUACUUCCUAUACGGUGGGUAAUGCCACCACCAAAUUUCUUUGUUUGAAGUGUUUCACUCAUGGCGUUACAUUUGAUAUGUCUUCACAUUUGGUUUGUCUUCAAUUUCAAUUUAUCUUCAUGAUUAUCUUCAUUAUGUUGAUUUGAUUGCUUUCUGAUAUAUAUACUAUUGUUCUGUCCUCCAACGUUCACUUAUAGCUAUGUCUUCCUUGUUGAAUCUUUUGAACUAAGUGAAUGUGAUCGGACCCUAAUCUCUCUAUGCUUCCUAUCUCAAACUCUAUCUGUCCAAAUCAUAUGCAUUCUAUUGAAAUUGUCGAAUGUCUUCUCUGCGUUCUUGUCAGCAGAAGAUACAGAGACAAACAUUAAGUCUGUUUUAAAUUAUUCAUCCUUAUUGCCUGAAAUCCGGAGAAGUCAGAACGACCAUCCGACAAACCUGGCGGGCGUGGGAACGUGGGAAAACUCUGAGUAUGUUGCAUGCUUGCCACGUGCCCCUUAGAUGUGAACCGCCAGGGGCACCUGCGUAAUUGCGCUGUGCCGCACACUUCCUUAUAAAUACUUGCCCCCUACGGUAAAGAAAACCUUCUUCCACCUCUCCACCUCGUCAAAACCCUAGCGCCACCGCUAGCUCUCCACGACACCGAUGACGAAGCGCUUAGCUGCCGCGACCUCUCCGACGCCGUCCUCAAGCCGGCCGUGGACAUCGUCCUCUCCGCCGCCGCCGUAGGUGUCCUCCAUCGCCAAGUUAGGGCACGGUGGAUUGAACUGCUCGGUCUCCUACUCUUCCCAUCUAGUAGUUCUUCGCGUGGUAAAUACAACUCUAUUUUUACCAUCUUUUUGAUCCUCAAAGAUUCAUCCUGUUUGCCAAAAUAGGUUUCUUCCUAUACAAUGUUAGAUCUAUCCUGUCUGCAUCUCAUACUGCCUAGUAUAUUCACUUAAGCUUCAUAUCUAGUUAGAUUCCUCACUUGUACUUAUUCGCGGAUUCGUACAAAUCUGGAACCAACUCUCAACAUAUAAGUGAAUGUCUUCGCAUCAUGAGGUCAAUGUCUUCAAACUGAUUUAUCUUCAAAAUCUUCUGAGAAUGCAUAUGACCUCUUCCCCUUCCCUCGCAUCUCUAAUGCUGUCACAGGUACAUGUCCGUGGGAGAAUCCCUUGGUUCUCAUAGUCUGCAUUCGUUUGCAGAAUUCUUGCAGCAUCACAUUAACUCUCCCGAAGCCAGUUCCUGUUUGUCCAGCAAGCGAAAGCCUUUGAAGCCUUUGAACAUAUUGAAACCAUUUAGUUUGAAGUUCAUGGCUGCAGAGAAAUUAGUAAGGAAGGGUGGCAGACAGCAUCGUGGGGGAACGUCAAGAGAUUUGCCUGAUGACCUCUCAGAGCUUUACAAGACAGAUCCAGAAGAGGAUUAUAAUCAGCGCAAGACAUGAAUCCAAUGGAUUCGACGAUAUUGGGCUGAACAAUGGUUCAAAUACAAGUUCGUGACCCAGGAAUAUGCAGAGAAAAAUGCCAUCAAGCGACCAUGGGGAGAUAUUUUGUACAGAAAUCUUCCACCCAGGUCCAGAGCUGAUGCCAUUGAGCAAGGCUUCUAUCCUUGCAUGGUCCGUGGGCCACAACCAGCUGAUGCCGACCCAUCAUCUUUACUCUUGUGUCGCGAAGACAAUCUGUUCAAACGCAAUUAUCAGUUUGCAAAAGCCUCAGCAAAGAAGAACAAAGAUUCUUUGGGGUUAGACUUCAAUCCUGGUCCUCCUGCUCCUCGUGCUGACGGCACAUGCAAUGUAGAACCAAAUAUCAUCGGACCUUUCUACAACCUUGAUGGCCUCAUCACUCACAUCUCGGUUCAAGGUGCCAAAGUGGAUCAUUCUGAUGAUGAUGCUGACACUGAUGAAGCCCCAGCUCCUACUCCAAAGCCGCAGAAGCCAAAGAAGGCUAAGGCUUCAAGAUCAGCUGCUCCUCCAAAAGCUUCACGUGCGAAGCCACUGGCCACUGCACCUUCUGAAGACAGUGUGCAGUCUGAAGAUCUAUCACGUAUCUCCAAGAAGACGGAGAAGAAGAAGAAAAUCGUGAAGAAUACUGAAUAGACACUGACUCCUGCUGCCAUUCUGCGAGAAGAGCACAUUGAUCUGUCCAGCAAUGAAGAUCUUGCAGAUGAUGCCCUUGAGCAACUGAUCAAGAGCAAGGAAGAAGCAGAGAUCUUCAAUGAUUUGCCUCUCUUUGAUGUGGCAAUCAUCCAUAACUUCAUUGAUGAGUGGUUUGACACCUCAAAUCUCAGCUUUGAAGAUCUGCAACUUCCCAUUGGCCUCAGCAUCUCCUUCAAUGGCGCCAUUGCUUUUGAGCUAGCUCUUGCUCAGCGCAUCGUUGAACUGAAGCACAAGAUUGACUAUGAGAAAGCUCAGUUCAAGAAGCAUCUGGCCAAGCUCAGCGUGCAAGAUGUCAAAAACUUCAAGAUCAUGCUGCAUGAGCUCAAGGAAGCCUUUCUCAAGAAGCGCGAAGAAGCUAAAGGUUCUCGUGAGCGCAUGAAGAGUCUGGGUGACAAGUGUGUGCAAGACUACAAUGAGGCUGAAAAGCGCAAGGCUCUUGGUCGUCCUGGCAUCGACCCAAGAAUGGCUGCAAAGAAGAAGAAGCCAUCGACUGACCAAUCUGCUCCUUCAAGGCAGGAAGAGCCGCGCAUUGUCUUCCCAAGCAGCAUGACCGGCUCAAAGCCAAAGGUCAGGUCAACCGCUUCUGAGCUGAAGAAGAAGAGAACUGCCGAGGCUGAAGCUAGAAAAAGGAAAAAUCCUGAAGCCUCUGAUGCUGCUCCCUCCAAGAAGAAGCGCAAGACCAAGAAGGAUCGGGCUGCUCCCACAGAGCCCUUAGUUGUUGAACCUAUCUCAAUGGUCCGCCCUGCAUCUGAACAACAAGAACGACGAAUGAUUGUUCAUGAGCCUGCUUCCACAGAGGCUCAUGAAGCUGAAGACAUUCCAGCAGUUGACCCCACCGCUGCUGAAGACAUUGGUCACCAUGACAAUGUUGAAGAUGAUGUAGUUCUUCCUCAGAUUGAACAUAACUUGGUAUCAUCGCUUGUUCUCACGAACAGCAAACUCAUCAGCAUUGGUCAUCCUCUGACGCCAAUUGCUCAGGAUGCAUCAUGGGCUGAUCACCCACAACAGCAAGAGACCCCAAGUACUCCCCAGCAACAAGCUACCCCAUCUGUGCAAGAAGAAGAUGAUGACAUUGAGGCCCAGCCAACUCCAUCUCCAAAGGCGUCGCCAAUGUUACGCAGGCUUCGCAAAGGACCAAGGCCUCAAGUCCCUCUUUCGAGCAUUCCAGAAGGAGAAGUGCCACACCAAUCUGUUGCACGUCAAGUGUUUCCAGAUGCCACUCCUACUGUGAAUGUCUUCGAGUCUGAAGCCAAAGGUGCCGAAGACAAUCCGGCUGCAUCAGCCGAUGACAAACAAGAAGAAGAACGUGUCCCUACUCCCCCAUUACUGAAGAAGUUGUUCCUGAAGUGAAGGUGCCAGUGCUCGACCCUCCAGCUUAUCAAGUGGAGGUUGAGAAUCUUAAGGCUGCCACCACCAACACAAAUGAAGCCAAUGACGUAGUCAUGGCAGAAGCAAAUGUGGAGCCUGCACCAACCAAUGUGCCAGAAGCCAAUGCUCCUGAAGCCUCUGAUGUGCAGCCAGACGCCUCUGUUGAUGCCACUGCUCCAGUUCCGCCACCAAGGCCACACACCAUCGAGCAAGCAUUCAACUAUGGCCAGCUUAUCACUGUCAAAUGGCCCCUUCUUGUUCCUCCGCCUGCUGCUGGUCCCCAAUUUGACUAUCAUGUCGAGCACAGGCCUCAGGUUCAGAAGCCAAUGCCAAGGCUGCCUAGAUUUCUAGGUACUGCAUCAGCACCCGGAUCAUUCAAUAUCAAUGGCUUUAAGGCACACAACACCUUCUUUGAUAGCGCCAAGAACCCCUACUCUAAGGCAAGAAUAUCUUCUGAUCGGUUCUAGAGCUAUCAGCAGCGCAGUUAUUACUCAUGCAUCUUAUACAAUCAAGGUCGCAUUUUUCCACAUAUGCGUCUUGACACUGAAGCCAUAACUGGUCUACCCUAUUUGGAAGAAGCUCUGGAUUGCUUCAGAGAGUCUGGCUUGCUGCAGUUCGUCACAGAUAAGGAGCACUGGAAUGAAGAAUUACUGCUCCAAUUCUAUGCCACUCUUCAUAUUCGUGGCUACAGCAGGGAUCCAAAGACUUGGGUCCUUGAGUGGAUGACAGGCAAUGUUCAUCAUGAAGCCAAAGCCUUUGAUAUCAUUGAGCUUACUGGCCUGCCCACUCCAGGUGAUCUUUAUGAACCUGGUUGUCAGCUUCACAGUGCUGCUAUGGAGAGGAUCUUUCACAAGCCUGAGCCCAAUAUGAGUCAGAUGCUUAGCAUGAUGAAGCCGUUGCCUCCAAAUGCUGAAUAUCCUAAGGAGUUCUUUGUUGAAGACCUUGAGUAUCUGCCCCGCACCAUCUAUCACAUUAUCAGGCGAACUCUUUGGCCCAUCAAAGGACAUUCUCCACAUGCAAAGCUAGAAGGCGCAAUGAAGACGUUGGUCUUUCAUAUUCUUCAUGGCAAAAGCUUCAAUGCACAAGACUUCUUUAUCCGUCAACUUGCUGCAUCAGGAUCUGACAUUUUUGGUCUGAAGUUCUAUGCUCCCUGGAUCAUGCGUCUGAUCAAGCUCCACUCUGCCUUCAACUAUCAACCCUCUACAUGCAAUCAUAUCAUAUUUUUGCCAGAAGUUGAUUUGUCUGUUGAAGCCAUAUAUCCAGAGCCUGCCAAGGAGCCUCUUAGUCUUCAGAAUGCUGACCAUCAAAGCUUCACGCAAAACAUUGAAGGAGUUCAAGCUGUCGCUCCUGUCUAUCCAUUGGCUGGAAUCACUCGCUUGCCUCACCGUGCGCAGACUAAAGCUACUGAUAGCACCAUUGCCCAAAGGCCUUGCAAGCGCUCUCGUGUUUUGAAUGACCGAGAACUUCUAGUGGCACUGCAUCAGAAACAAGAUAAGCAUCAUGACUGGCUCAAACGACAGAUGCAAAGUCUAUUGGUGGACGUCAAUCGCAUUCGCAAUCUUGCCACCAAGAACGCUUUUGUCACUCAUGAGACCUGUCGACGCUCAUGGAAGAGUUUGACACUGCUUAGUGUUGAAGCAGAUCUUCAAGACGAUGGCUUCACUGAAAGAUUCAAGUUUGACUCCACUCCUCCACGGAAUGUUGUCUUAUGUCGAACCACAUCCCUUGAAGACUCUGACUAUUCUUCCUCCGCGGCAACUGUGAAUGCCAAAGUGAUCGAUGAUGAAGACGAUGCUACUUCACCGCCCCUACUUCUGCACGCAUCGACACUGCACCAAGUUCGUCUGCACCGCCAACCAACACCGACAACCCUGCUGCUUCACCUACUCCUCAUAGGAACGAGUAGAUGCUCUAUGUCUUCAAACCUUUUUGGUCCUUACUGACAAAAGGGGGAGAAGCGUAUGAGUUUGAUAGUCUUCAAGCGGGUUCAUAUGGGCGGUUACUUUAUAUAUUUUGCCUAGUGUUUACAACUCUUGUUUUUGAUACAUUUGGUUCUUUGAGUUGUAACACUUAAACUCGAUGGUCGUCUGCUACUUAUUUGCUAUUCUGUGAUGCGAUGAUAAAUUCCGCAUGUGCGAUGAUAACUUCCGCACUUAAGUCAUCCUGCAGACGUCCAUUUUUCAUUAUGCAUGACAUUAUCUUUGUUAUAUCUUAUCAUGCAUGAUGGAUUGUCGUCAUAAGUUGAAGAGGAUCUCCACAAGUACAACCUGCCAUGUGCAUUUGCAUUCCAAAAGCAAAUUACUUAUAUGCACAUCUUCAGGGGGAGCCUUUGCCACUUAUGAAGACAAUACCCUAUCCUUUACAAUUUCACAUACUUUAUCCUCGUUGAAAACUUCAACCAGCUUGUCAUCAAUCACCAAAAAGGGGGAGAUUGUAAGUGCAUCUAGUGCCACCCCUAGUUGGUUUUGAAGUAUUGACGACAAAUUUGGUUGAGCGACUAAUGUGUUUGUGAGAACUGCAGGAUAACACAGGUAGUGUCCCUCAUUGAUUCGGUUUGCCUACCGGAGAUGACCCUAAAAAUAUAUGAAGACAUUGACGACAAUGGUGGUAUGUGAAGAUAUUCAUAUUGAAGACUAUGACAUGAGAAGACAUUUAGUGAAGACUAUGGAGCGCGAAGACUUAGUUGUUUCGUUGUUUCCUUUUCUUCUUUGUUGAGUCAUAGGAACCACCGUAUUGUUAAGUGGGGUCCAAGUGAACAAAGUCAGAAUGACUGAAGUGAUGCUCAACCCAAAUCCUAUGUCUUCGAGCGAAGACAAUGAGAGCAAAUCUUAUCCAGAGCUGGAUAAGUCAGCUUUGCUUGUAGCCCAAGUAAAGUUGUCGUGUGUGUUUGAAAUCUGACCGUUGGAACACGUGUCAGUUCCUUAGUGACCCAGGGUCAUUUCGGACAUAUCAGGUCGGGUUGCCUAGUGGCUAUAAAUAGCCCACCCCCUACACCAUAAAUUGGUGGCUGCUCAGAGUUAGUGCACGGUUUUUGUCGUUUGAGAGCAACCCACCUCGAAGCCUUUGAGAGAGAGAAAUCCUUGCGAGGACAAAGCCCAAACACCCAGAGCCAGAGAGUGUUAGGCAUCACUGAAGUCUUUCUGUCUGCGUGACCUGAAGACUUAUUACACUUGAGGACUGUGAAUCCUCCAGCCGGUUAGUCGUCGCGUUCUGAGCAUCCAAGAGUCAUUGUGGAUCGCCGAUGAACGAAGUCUGUGAAGGUUCGGAAGUCUACCUUGAAGACUUACUAGAGUGAUUGGGCGAGGACAGUGUGUCCUUAGCUCAAGGGGAAUAAGGUGAAGACGCGGUUUCCUGAGUUGAAUCUCAGCCUCCCUAACCAGACGUACAGUUAUCACAGCAACUGGAACUGGUCCAACAAAUCAUGUGUCCUCAACAAGUGACUGGUUCUAUCCCCUCUCUCUCUUUACUUAGAGUUUGUCUUCGUGAAAUCAUUGCCCGUUUGCCUUACUUGUUUGACUUCAUUGCUUGACUACUAUCGUUGUUUGGCUUCAUACUAUCUUCCAUCCUGAUCUUUACUACCUAGCUGCUAUUAGUCCUUGUGAUUUCACUUCAUUACAUAUUUGACUAUGGCUUGCUUAGUGUAGUCUACCUUCCGCUGCAUCUCAAUAGGUUCAUUUCUAUUGUUUGUCUUCGAAACUUUCAUGUUUUGAAGACUUUCAUAAAAAUCGCCUAUUCACCCCCCCUCUAAUCGAUAACUAGCACUUUCAAAAAGCUAACAUGCUAGAAUAUUUAUAUCCCGUUGCAACGCAUAGGCACUAUUUUUAUUUAAUUAAAACAUAUUAAGAACGUUCACUGCGUGCUAGAAAAACUAGAUAACACCCUGCGUGUUGCUGCGUUUUUUUAGCAAUGAACUUACCAAAAUAAAAUUAGAACUUAUGAGAAUAGUCCCGCACCAUAUUCAACCUAGAGGUAAAUGGAGGGUGGAUGCACGCUAUAUUGUCAUGUGAAAUUCAAGUUCAAAUGUAAUGUUGAAAAAUAAAAAUAAAAAUUAAUGACGUGCAGGGCUUUCAUGAUCUUUGAUCAUGUGGACGGCUUGCACGUGGUAUAAACUGGAAUGUGGAAAGUUGAUUAAUUGCAUGCGCUGGAUGAUGUGCAUAGCUUAGAUGUGCAAUUAAAUGGGAGGCAGCAUGUGUGGGACAAAUUCGGUGAGGUGGAUAGGUUGCACUUUAAGAUAAAUAAGAUAUUGAGGAUGAACUUCCUAGGUAUAUAUAGGAUGUUAACGCAGUCUAUUUUUCUAUUUGCAACUUCUAUAAGGUGUUUAUAGCAUUCAAAAAAAUGUCCAUGAUAUCUACAAAAUGCUCGCAAGUUUUAGAAAAAGGAUGGUGGCAUUUAAAAUUAGUUAUAUAAUUUAAAAAUAUGUUUCUUACCGUUCUCCAGUCCGUUUUACUCCACAUAUAAGAUUUGUCGAAACUCAACUUCGUAAAGUUUGACCAACUUUACUGAAAAAGAGAUCAACAUUCGCAAUAUGAAGUUUAUAUGAUUAGAUGCAUCAUGAAUUUAAUUUUCAUAUCGUAUAACUUCAGUAUUAUAGAUCUUUAUAUUUUCUCAUAUAAAUAUGGUCAAACUUCAUAAAGUUUUACUUCAUACAAAUCUUAUAUGCGGAGUAAAAAGGGCCGAAGGGAGUACGUGACACUCUAAAAAAGUGUUCAUGUGUUAAAAAAUAUGUUUGUGACAUUUAAAAAAAAUGUUUAUACAAUGUCAAAAAAUGUUCGUGUAGUGUUAAAAAAGGUUUUAUGCAAAAUUAUUUUCAACGUGUAUUUCAAAAUGUUUAACAUGUAAUAAAAAGUUUAAAACAUGUAUUUGAAAAUGUUCAAUGUGUAUCAAAAUAAUGAUUCAUAUGUAUAUGAAAAAUGUACAAUGUGUAUUUAAAAAGUAGACAUAUAUUGACUGAAAUUAAGAAAUAUGUUUACACAGUGUAAAAAUGUUUGCGUAGUUCAAAAAAAAUUGGUUUGUAGCAUUUAAGAAAUGUAUGACGUGUAUUUGGAAAAUGUUUAACAUGUGUUCCAAAAUGUUCAAAACAUGUGUUAGAAAAUUUUCAACGUGUAUCAAACAAAUGUUCCAGGUGUAUACAAAACUUUACAACGCAUAUUAAAAAAUUGACAUGUAUUAAAAAAUAAAAAAAAGGAAAAAGACCAAUAAAAACAAAGAAAGCGGGUAAAGAAACAUAGAAACGCAGGAACCAAAAUAUAACCUGAUAAAAACGAACAAAGAAAACACACAUAAAAAAAGAAAAAGAAAACUGCCCGGAGGCUUCGAAAACCGUCCCAAACCAGUCAUACAAGCUUCCUUUCAUUUUUGAGCAAAAGUCAUACAAACUUCCUUUCUUUAUUGAGCAAAAGUCAUACAAGCUUCCUAAAAGCCGAUCCCAGGAAUCCAUGCGGGCGGGCACAUCUGGCGAUCGCCUACUGCGAGAUGGCGAGAUUUAGCUCCCGCAGCGCUCACCAGCCGCCUAGCACGACCCACGUUGCUCGCUAGAAGUUACAGAAGCCCAAACAGAUUCCAUUUGGACUUCAUUCACUUAACCUUCUUUGCUCUAUUAGCCCAGCGACGUCCAAAUUCCAAUUUUAUUUCCGGCUGAAACGGCAAACGGUCAGUCGUACUCCCUCCGUUUUAAAUUAGAUGACCCAACUUUAUACUAAAAUUAGUAUAAAGUUGGGUCAUCUAUUUUGGAACGGAGGGAGUAGCUCGCAGGCCACGCUGCUCGUGCUCUCUCCGGUUGACCAUCUUAAACUAACAAGUUUUUGCUCAGGCAACAGAUCCAGGGCCCAUGACCCCCCAGACAUGGAGAUCUAUACCUACUGCCCUUGUCCUCAUCCCAACUCCAGCCAUUCACUACCCCAGCCACUUGCACACGUUGCCAAAAUGCAGUCUUCAUGUGCCCAUGAACUGCCCGGCCAGCCAGCCAGCCUAACAUUUUCUGUAAUAAUAAGAGCCAGCCUCACAUUUGGCACACUCUUCAGUUCUCGGACACCCACUGAAGCACAACAUAGCCCAAAACAGACACGACAGUGACUAGAGCCCAUUUCCUGCAGUAUAUUAUACAAAAAAAUUGAUGGCUUCUAGCGCUGUACGUACGCGCAUACAUACGCGCUCCAGACGUCCAGUCUGGAACACGGCUGCACUCUCCAGAUGUAUCCUACACUACACCAAAGUUGCAGGCCACGAUUAUUAUUCCGUCGAGACUCGACUCGAGAGGGAGAAGAAAAGCGGGCCUCCCAACUGGAGGGGCUUUUCGGAAAGACAGGCCGCUCCAUUUAGGGAACUUCGAUCCUCGGCCGUCGAUGUCGAGAUCCGACGGCUGCGGGUCAUCGUGCUCAGCCACGGUCCUUUUCCCUCCGUCGUCGCUCGCUUGCAGCUGUUGCGCACUCCUGGACGGUGAUGAGUAAAAGAGCGUGGAUGGAAAGCGGCGUGGUUAGGUCAACAUGUAGACGCUUUGGGCUUUGGCCGCCAAGCUUUUUGGUGAGCUGUGGGCUUUUUGGGUCGAUCGUGGUGGUGGCGAGAACGAAAAACGGAACACGAUUGAUUGAAGGAAGUGGUAGCUGCUGAUAAGUGAUAAGCUCCGUUGGUGACGGCUGCAAAGGUGCAUAUGUUGGCUUUUGACUAUCGCUGCUUGGUGCUUGCUUUCUCCUACGCUCUGCCACGAGUGACCAACCAUGCAUAGGCUCCAAGGACCGGACCGAUGCACCAAGUCAUUGGGUUCUUGAAGUUGCACUGCAUAUAGGCCUAUGGUAUUUUUGGUACUUAGUAUAAUCGAUGAUUGCCGCCGUAUGACGUCAUGGGGUUCUUGAAACAGUGCCUUCUACUAACCAAAUUCUUGGUUUCGGUUGGCUUGAACUCAAGCCAAGGUUCACAUAAUUUCAUAACAUAGAUGCCUCUGAGCACACAAAACACGGCACAAAAUGGACACCAUACGUGAUGAUAUACUCGUGACCGCAGAACGUUGUAUUUGAGCCCGCGUCCCUCGGUUCGGGCAAAACCAUAGCCACGCCGCCACCACCGCCACCGUCUGCUCCCACCUCGACUCCCUUGCCGUUGCUUGAAGACAUCUUCUUUCAAGGCGUUGUUGUGGAAGAAUGAUGACUCCGUGUAUAUGUUUAGAUCAUACCUUGUACUCCCUCUGUUUCAUAAUGCAGUGCGUAUAAUUUUUUCUAAAAAGUCAAACUAAGCAAACCUUGACCGAGUUUACAAAGAAAACUAUUCAUAUAAAAAAAAUCUAAACGUAUACAACAUGAAAAUAUAACUGAUGAUGUAUCCAACAAUAUGCAUUUGGUAUUUUAAUUGUACAUAUUUUGGUCUAUAAACAUGGUCAAACUUUUAAAUCUUUGACUUCUGAAAAAAUGCACUACAUUAUGGAACGAAUGAAGAUUAUCCAUUGUUGUGUAUCCCAUACCAUAUUCUUUGUUUGUUGAUGGAAUCGGUCUCAUUGUUUUGCAUCAACUUUUAUAAAUUUUUGGAUGUAGGCAUCCGCGGAUGGAAAGGUCAGGAGCUUUCGGCUUUUUUUCAAAAAGGAAGAAGAUUUUAUGUUCUUUUAGGUAGGCAUUAUAUAAUUUAUCACAGUUGUCAAUGGGAGCUUCGUGUCCUUGUAUAUCGCUGAUUAACAAGGCAAUUUUUUUUGNNNNNNNNNNNNNNNNNNNNNNNNNNNNNNNNNNNNNNNNNNNNNNNNNNNNNNNNNNNNNNNNNNNNNNNNNNNNNNNNNNNNNNNNNNNNNNNNNNNNNNNNNNNNNNNNNNNNNNNNNNNNNNNNNNNNNNNNNNNNNNNNNNNNNNNNNNNNNNNNNNNNNNNNNNNNNNNNNNNNNNNNNNNNNNNNNNNNNNNNNNNNNNNNNNNNNNNNNNNNNNNNNNNNNNNNNNNNNNNNNNNNNNNNNNNNNNNNNNNNNNNNNNNNNNNNNNNNNNNNNNNNNNNNNNNNNNNNNNNNNNNNNUUUAUUGAACUAAAGAACAAUUACAUCGUUUACUAGUUGGCUAAGUAAAAAAAAGGGGUUCAUUAGCCCAACUACUGUCACACUUACUAUAAAAUUGAACUUAGCUAGCUUAUAAACAACAGAAUUUGCAUCACAACAAUGCUUAAAAAUGACCUUCCCUAUUGACGUAGCUGUAUCAAUCAAUGCAUUCCGCAAAAACUGCCCUUGACAGUAGUUCACCACAUUCAGAGAAUCGGACGGUUGCUGGUUAAUUUUGGUGGUUACCGUGCAUCGGUAGCCACGGUCAUGCCACACGCACAUGACUAAUUAAGCGAGAUGUUGUUAUCUUACGGGCAUUGACCUAAACUAGUUUGGUUUGUCAUGUGGCUUCCUAAUUUAUUAGCCAAUAAUGUUCAAGUUCUUUAAGGAUACAGUCAUGCACGCAUUGGUGGCAAAAAUGUUGCUGUCUCGUGCAUCAUCUCUGUCAUCACACCGAUGCAUACGAUGCCAUGAUUGGCUAUAAUGGAGUCAGACCAUGCACGCAUGCUUUUGUAUGCCAGUGGUAGGUCGACACACAUUAUCUGCUGUAUCGGUCAAAAUAUACAAGAAAAUCAAAUUGGCUCCAUCACAGUGGACAAUUAGCACAUCGUCACGAUUAAUACGGAAGGUCUAGGAUAUAGACUGAUCUUAAACAGUUCAAACCACAAGCAUGAACUGAACCAUACGGUGGGGCCACGUGUCGGCUUCAUCACUUGGUUGCUGAGGCAUCAGUGAAGUGCCAUGCUUUAAAAAGUCAAGAUGACAUGGCGAUGUUUGGAGUAUUAUAUGGGCAGCAAUCAUGGUCGCCAACGUUGACGUGGUGCAUUCUAAAAUGUUUACAAGAUUUCGGACGGAUUUGACAUCCAGUAGGCGCGACGAGUUGAUCAACGAGCUUGACCCGUGUAUCCUCAUCCUUCGUACGGCCAUCGAUUUGAGACAGUCAAUUGCUCGUUGAAGUACUGUUUGGGAAGACACAUUUGUUCUGGAGUGAUGCCCAGCCGAUGUAUGGCCUAGAUUAACCAUCUCAUGCUGUAGAACAAAUCGAAAUAAGAGACCGAAGUUGUCGCAUCAACCAACUGCUGAGAUCCAAAAAAAAAAAAC
rnacentral:lncRNA from 1 species